CGCAUACAUCAAAUUGACCUACUCAUGACCACUGGUGUAAUACCCCAGAUUUUCAUAUCAAUUUCCGUAUAUUAUUUCCGAAAUUAAUGAAGGAUUUUGUGUGGGAAAUUCUUAUUAGUAUGUGUGAAGUUGAAGUUUCGGGAGUUAAUUUUAUUAAGGAGUCUUGACUUUUAAGAGGCCAAAAGUUGACUUUGUUAUCUGUAACUUAUUUUCGAAAACUUCCUUUAUGGAAGUUGUAGAGUUUGGCGAUACGAGUUCGUAGACACGCGGCACACGUAAAACGGAUGUCGUAUGAGAAAGUUAUGGUCAGAGGAAGUUAGUUUCCGAUUUUUGGAAGGUGUAUAAAUAGAAAGAGGGAACCCUAAUUUUCAGAAAAGCCCUCUCUUUCUCUCUCCUCUCUCCCGACCCUCCCGCGCGCACUCUCCUUCUCCGGCACAUAACUCCUCCAUCCGACCACCAAAUUGGACGCCACCGGUUCUGUUGGGUUCGCAGAGAUCUCCUCUCCACUCUUGGGGCAGCGCCGCUCAUCAUCGCGCAGCCUAGAUGCCGCCACGAGGCGGAGGAGCUGCUACAAUCUCGCUGGAGUUCUUCUUUUUUCGGCCUCCAAUCGAGACGCCGCCGGUCCCGUUCAACUCACACGGAUGCCCCCUUCAAUUCUAGGCUGGUGUGACACGGCGUAGCAAGCUAGAGACGGAGCUCUUGGCCGGAGAAGAGCACGGUUGUGUCACCGAUCGGAACCGCCGUUUGCGGUGGUGACGAGGGGCAACCCUAGGUGAGUUUUGGUCAUCUCUUCCUUUUGGUUGUGGCUAGGCAUAGUUUGAAGCAAGAUAUUAAGGUUUCGAGCCCUGAAAUUGCAGAUUGAAUUGUGAACCCGUUUUGCUGUUUUGAGGUGUUUUCCCAAACUGGUUGAAACCUCAGAUAUUAAAGUUGUUCAUCUUGCUUCAUUCUACAAGUUUGAUGUUUUCAGUUUGCCCAAAUUCUGAAGUUUUGGGGUGGCACGUGGGCCCACUCGCCGCCUCCUGUGGCAGAGCGUCCGACAGUGUUUCUAGUUUCAUUUUUCUGUGGUUAGCUAGCUCUUGUUGUUGUGAGCUUGUUGAGAGGUGGAAAUUCUAGGUUUUGAGCAAGGAUUGCAUGUUAGGACUUUAAGUUUAAGCUUAGGCUUAUGUGAGGUUUGAGUUUAGGUUUUGAGAAUUAGUGGCAGCUUUAGUGUGUCGUUAAGUUCGACGACUUUGGAAAGUUGUCCUCUCUUGAGCUAAGGGUUAGUUUAAGGGUGUUGUGAUAUCCUAUAGUACUUUGGUUAGUAAGGUGUUAAUUGUGUGAUUUUUAGGUGAUUUGUGAAGUUGUGAUUUGGCUUGCUCUUGUUGUUUUGUGGAAGACGCAGCGGGAGUAUUAGUGAGUAAAUCUCACCAAGGUUCACUUUGGACUAAAUUUUUAUGGUCAUUUUGAUGAUGAUUAUGAUGAUGGUUGUGAUGAUGAUAAUGAUUAUGAUGAUGAUGGUUUUGAUGAUGAUUAUGAUGAGGAUUGUGAUGAUAAUAUAAUGAUGAUAAAAUGAUGAUGAUGAUGAUUAUAAUUUAAAAAUUAUGUUUUUGUUUGUUUUAAAAUAUAUGAGCUUAAUCGCCAACGGCUCAUAGGUAAGUUAAAACAAGUUUUCCUAUUAUAUGAUUAUUUUUAAGGUUCAUGUGAUCAUAAUGUUUUUUGACACGACCCACCCCGAAUUUCACCCUGAAACCCGGAGUAAGUCGUGCGGGGACCACCUCCAAGGAAAAUUUACUGAAAAGAUUAAGAAAAUCUCCCUUGCAGAUGGACAACCCUAACUCGAAAAUUCCAAAUUACACUCUUAAUUCAACACUUCCAAACAUCACAUAAUUAUCCUUCAGAAAUUCUACACAUAAUAUACAAUAAUCCCAAAGUAUUCAGAGCUACUAAACACAAGCGGAAGCAAGAAAACACGAGUAGGUUGAACAUGUAACCUACUGACGAAAACUGGCAGAAAUGCGGGUGACUAUGCCUCGCCUCCUACUAGAUCCAACCCGAACUCUGCAGACUGGGCAAUUUAAAACGAAAGGCCCAGGGGAAAACAUUUAAUAACGUUAGAGUGAGUGGACAAAAAUAAAAUAAUAAAUAAAAUAUUUAUGUUUCCCCAAAUUAAUAUCUAAGGAAAAAUCGAAUGCAUGCCGCAAGCGAUAAAACUUUUAUCUCAUAAAAUAUCGAGCCUCUCAGACUCUAUAAUAUAUGUAUAUAUUUACACUCGUCCAUACUCCCUAUAUAAAUUCAUGGGUCUAUAUAGGGCUACUACGCUCGCGUCCAACGCUCACGUCACGCCUUAAUGCGGUGCUACAUUACGCCAUCAAGGUGGACAGACGGGUGUAUAAAUAUGUGUCCAUACCCCCUAUAUGAAUUAAACACUCAAAUAGGGCUACUACGCUCACGUCCAACGCUCACGUCACACCAUAAUGCGGCUAUAUGCUACGCCAUUAAGGUGGACAGACACAUAUGGCUAGCCAGCAUUUUCUAUACAUACUCUCUCAUAAAUACAUAUUUAUAUUCACCGAAAAUCCCAUUUUCGGUAACUCUCUAAGAGAAAUAAAAGCGUCAAAAUUAAUUGACGUCAAAACUCCAACAAAAGUAAAUGUUCAAUCAUGAACCAUAGCAUGCAUAUUAUUUCAAAUAGAAGUCCACUCACAAAUUAGGCCUAAGCCUGAUGUCGAUCUGGGGCCUCGUCUGCUCGAGCCUCCUCACGUCCUGUUCCAAAUAUAAUAUUAAUUUCCCAACCAAUAAUCCAAUAUUUAAUCAAAAUAGGCAAAAUUACCCGAGAGCCAUAAAUACGCUCAUCAUUGCCUAACUUCGAUAUUCUUAAAUCGGAACGAUCCGAACUUAAAUAUCAUACUCAACAGUCGUAAAUACAACCUCCCCAAAAUACGACUUAAAUCCUACGGCCGGAUUCUACAUUAAUUAACCGCCAAAAAUACCAAACUUCGGAAAUUCACAAACCUAUCCAAAUCUCAUCCAAAAAUUCCAUAAAUCGCAUCAAUAUACUCCUCUUAAUAUUCCACACUUAAAACCCUAAAAAUCUCUUAACCGGCGGCUCCGCCGGCAGCGGCGGCCGGAGGCCAAUUCCGGCGACCUCCAAAACCUAUGAAAUUUUGACAGAAUAAUCCUCUCAUCAUGCUCUACAACUUUCCUAACUAGCACAAACACCAAUUCCAAGCCUAACUAGGGCAAUCGACUAAAAACAUCAAAAACACCAUAAAACUUUCACCUCAAAUUUCUCCUUACCUAGCUCAAGAGAGAGUGAGUCCUUUUAGGGCAAGGCUGCUGGGUUGGAGGGCUACAAAACCGUACCAAGCUUGCCCGGAUUGGUGGCUGGAGGAGGGAGUUCCGACGGCCGAAAGUUCGGGGCAGCCUAGCCUUUCGGGCGGCACCGCUCUCUCACGGCGGCGCUAGGGGGGCUGUCACCGGUCCUGGAAGAUAGCUGGGUCGGAGGGCAACCGAACGGGACCGGAGCGGCGGCAGGUGGUGGCCGGACGGCGGCGUACGGACGGCGAGAAGUUUCCGGCGGGGGAGAGGCUCGGGAGGAAACCGGGAAGAAAAGAGGAAGAAAAAGAAAGAAUAAAAAAACUAGGUUUGGGCCUUACACCCCAAACCGGUCCAUCCUUUUAAACAACCCAAAUCCAAAAAUAAAACACCCCGAAAAAAUAAAACCCGAAUAAAAAUUACCUUUUACUAGCUAAAAUUUACUAUUUUUACCGUCGUCGUAUUUUCCUCAUACGAAUAAUCCUCCGCACAUAAUCGUCCCCGAAACCCCUCUAGGGACCAAUUAAAAUAUUAACUCAAUGAUCGAGACGGUAAAAUUCUUAUUAUAAUCACGCUAGUAAAUAAGGUAAAAAUAUAAGGGUCGGGAUGUGACAUUUUUAGCUAUUGAUAGAUUAUUCUUGUGGGAAUAUCUAUGUUUGUUCAUAUAAAUAUAUCUAUGUGGAAGGAUAUAAUUUUUAUGAUGUGCUCCUUGUGUUGAUUGAUGAUGAUUUUAUUAUAUUGUGAUUUGUUGUUUAAAUAGUCAAACUGGGUUCCAAACCUUUAAUCGGGUGAUUGGUUACGGUUAUAAUGCUAUUAUUAUUUUUUGAUUUGAUAUUAGAUAGUCAAACCGGGUUCCAAGCCUUUAAUCGGGUGAUUGGUUACGAUUAUGAUGAUUCUACUCUAUUGUGAUUUGUUGUUUAAAUAGUCAAACCGGGUUCCAAGCUUUUAAUCAGGUGAUUGGUUACGGUUAUGAUGCUAUUAUUAUUUUGUGAUUUGAUAUUGGACAGUCAAACUGGGUUCCAAGCCUUUAGCCGGGUGAUUGGUUAUGGUUAGGAAUAGAGCUCUAGUCCGUCUGUCGGUGUAGGUCAUGAGAGGUACCUGAAGGUAUCUGGGACCAAUGGGUACAUAAAUUGUUGUUGUAGGUCAUGAGAGGUAUUUAUUAAUAUUUGGGACUCAUGGGUACAUGUAUAUUUGUAAAAGUAUUGGUUAUGUGGUUUUAACAUUGUGCUUAAUCGUUGUUAAUUAAAUUUCUUGUUUUGAGUAUCUCCUAAACUAUGCUUAAUGCAGGAGAUUUUCAAUUUUAUUUGUGUGAUUUUUAGUGGAAUUUCUUAACUAUCAUUUUUGCAGGAUUCACUUAUGAUUUUAAUUGUUUUUGGAAAUUGUUGUGUUUUCUUAAUUUCUCUUUUUUGAAUUUUCUUGUUUGAAGCGAUUCCUGAACUAAGUUCUAAAGCAUGAAUUACCAGUUUUAUCUUAUGUAAUGUUGGAUUUAGUUAUUUUUGGGAGUUACUCAUACGAGCUUUUUAGCUUAUCGGGUUUGUUGUUUACAACCCGGUGUACCAAUUCAUGGUGUAGGGGUUAGACCUGCAGGUGAUGAUCAGCAAAGUUGAGGCAGAGGCAUAGUAGCUGGGUUUUAGAUGUUGUAUUUUUUAUUUGUAUAUUAUUCGGUUUGUUUUUUUAAGCGUAUAUGAGCGUCCUUAUUUUACUAGACUUUUGAAGUUAAUGUAAUUAAGGAGAUGUAAUGUAUAACUCAAAGAUGAGUUUUGUUGAUAUUUACUUUUCCAGUUUUGAGUUUAAUUUGGAAGUUGUUGAUCAGGUUUUAGGAGUGAUAUUGUGAGUUAUAUCAUGCCCAAAUUUUUGAAAUUUAUCCUUCGAAAAUAUUGGGGUGUAACAACUAGAGUAGAUGCCAACACAAAUAACAAAAUGACAAUCAACCCUCAUUUCAAAUACGCUAAUUUGAAAUCUAUUACAAGAGAUCUCCAACUACUCAUAUCUAACUGCCAUGUAGCAAUAAUACUAGUCGCUUGCGAACCUCAAUUAGUGUACAAUUAAAUAAAUCAAGAAUUAAACAGAAAUAAUCUUCCAUCACUUGUCUAGGAAUGAUCAAGGAGAUUGAGCUACCUCCUUGCCCUUACUUUUAGAGUUAGCGGCACACCAAACUUCAGAGGUAGUAAGAUGCGACAGAGAGGUACUCGGCUUCUUGUAUGGUUUGAGAGGCCUUUGUAACCAUGUGACCCCAUUCUCUACCAAGAACUGGGUUAGGUUUUGAGCCCCACGGCCCAAUCUGAUCUGGGCACCCAACAAGAGACCCAUAGCCCAACCGUCACUAACACCUACGUCUUCAGUAGUUCUGACCAAGGAUGGCUAACCGUUGCCGGCACCGGUGCCCAAAGGGAUGGGUUCUUAGCGCCUUUCGUUGAUGGUCAUCCCAAAAGCAAUGACCUUCAACACUUAUCGGUGCCCAAAGGGAUGGGCGUCAUUGUAAAGCGUCGCACGUCUAGGUUUGAGCCUUUUCGUCUGAUUUCAUGUCUCGUCGUUGAGCUCCGUUGUCGGCAUCGUGCGUCGGGCUUCGAGCAUUGUUAACGGGCUUUUCUCUUGCGUUUGUAUAUGAGAGAGAGACAGAGAGAGAGAGAGAGAUGCGUAAAUUUGUUAUGAAAUUGUGUGUUUUGGUUAUUUUACAGUUAAAAUUCGGGUCAGUCCUACAAUUAUGUUUUGGGUUAUGUUUUGGGUCUGAACUCAUGUUCUUACUGAUAUAAAUUAAGUGAGUUUUUUGUGCUUUGAUAUUUGGUCAUCAUGUACUACUAUGUCAAAAAAUGUACUCGAUACAUUAGAAAGAAACUAUAACAAACAAGGAAUUAAGAGGAUGGGUAAGCAGAAUUGAACAAUAAUAGUGAAUAACCUAUUAAUAUACAAUUCCAUAUAAAUAUCAUUCUCAAACUUCCUCGUCUGGGAAAGAAUGAGAAACUAUAUCGCUGCAAUUAUCUUGCAUAACAUCGUUGUUACCUCCCUUGAUCGAAACGAUACUAUUAACAUAAAAUGCAGCUUCAUAGUUACGUAGAGAAACGCCUUCCAUAGGAAGAUACUUACACUUUUUUGUACGAGAGUCAUAAAAGAUUACUACACUCUGAUCCAUACCAACAUAAAGAAAUUGAUCGUUCUUCCCAGCAAAUGCCAAUGGAGAAUAAAUGCUCACAGCCGGCUCAAAGGUUAAGUAUUUUAUCCAAGAACCUUCAGUAGCACCAAUUUCAUCUAGCACCCAUAUGUCUGUGGAGUUCUCAAUAUUCCACCCGGAAAUGGCAAUGGAUUCAUUCCACAAUCCAAACACCUUACAGCUCAAAUUUGGAGAUGAUAAUACGUGAAACGUCUCAUCAGCUAAAUGAAACGAAAUCGUACAAUCCUUGGGGCAUUCGAAAACCUCAUCUUCAUCAGGUGUAUAACAUAUCACUGUUUCGUUCGGAUAUUCUUUUGCACACCAAUAAAUUAUUCCCUUACAAUGUGUAGAGUUCACUGCGUAAAUCUUCUGCAAUGGCCACGCGGUAACAGUGUCCUUGACCAAAUUAUUAGUCUUGAUUUCUUUCCAAUAAUUUGUGACGAGGCUGUAUACUUCUGCUUUUGGAGGAUGAAUUAUAACACGAUCAUCAUCGAUGAACUCUCGUUCAUUUUGCAAAAUUCUAACAACUUUAUAAGUUUUGGAUGUGAGAUCAUACCCAAAUCCCAUGGCAACUGUUGGCUCGACAUCAGUUCUGAAGUCAGGGGAAGAGAGAAGAAGAUUUGACACAGGAAGAAGCUUGAAUUCCUUGAUAGCCGGAUUGCAUAAAACAACUUUUUCUCGCAUGUCAGAUAAACAAACGAUCCCAUCGCAAUGACCUAAAAGUUCUACCCUCUCGUACCCAUAGCGAUCAAUCCUCAUUAGACGCAUUGAAGGUGGUACGUGGAGGUCCUCUAUAACAGUAUCAAGGUGAUGCUCCUCCGCAUCUUCUUCAUCAUCAUCAUCAUCAUAGAAGAGAUUAAACAAUGACAACACUACAUCCUUUUUGCCAGUGUUCAUGUCUCUUAGGACAAAACGCUUGAAAAGGAUGGUGAUGAAGGAUGACAGUUUGUUGUGCUUCGAAACGGAGAGGUGCUUGGUGAUGAAGUUGGGGUUGUUGAUCAAGGCAUACCAGGAAGUAUGAAUGCACUUGAAUCGCAUAAGAGAUUUCGCAGGGAGCCUUGACAAUAUUUGCACCAUCAUCUCUUCCGCCAAUUUGGACAACUUUGCCAUUUUUGUUUGCACCUCCUUUUCGAGCUAGUAUUCUUCUUCUUUUCAACUUAUACACAUUAACCAUGUAUGGAAAAGAUGGUGCGGAUCAAAAUCCAGUGUUGCUUGAAAUUGCUUCGCUACAUAAACAUUCGCAAGAUAUAAUGAUAUGUUUGAUGAAAAAAACAAUGAAAAAAUAAAUCUCAAAGUUGUUCAAAUUAGGUGAAAUUUGAAGAGAAAUAAAUUUUGCUUUCGAUUAAGUCUAGAAAAAUAAGUUGAUGGAUGAGAGUGAUAUAUAAUUGUUAGGCACCGAUUUUCUUGCUUGACCACUGGUUAGUGAUGGUUUGUUUAGUUUUAAUAAUUUUUUUUCCUAUACCGUAGCAUAUCAUAAAUAACGUACUACAACCACUAAGAGCAACUUUAGCAGACUCUCUAUUUUAGCUUUUAGCUAUUUUAGAGAGCGUGUUGAGUUUUUUUUUUAUAUUUUCAGAGCUCCAGCAGACUUGUCAAAGUUUAGCUAUUAUGACUUUUAGCUAUCUCGCUAGCUAAAUAUAGAGAGCGAGAUGACUCAGAUGAGGCUAGCUAUAAUUUAAUAUAUUUCUUGUAAGAUAUUUUAUGUGAUAUAUAAAUAUAUAUUUAAACUAUUUAAUUUCUAUUUAAAGAAUAAUGUUGAUGUAAUGCUAGCUAAAAUAAAGAGCAUUAAUACAGCCACAUUUCUAAAGUGGCUAGCGAAAAUGACAUUUUAGUUAAUUUGUCUAAAAUUUAACUUAAAAUGGCUAACAUUGUUAAAAAUGCUUUAACAAAAACAAAUUUUUUGUUCCCACUAGCCAAAAAAAUGACCAAAGAGGUUAAAAACAUAAAACUUCUCGAAACAUUGGAGAUAACACGGUCUCUCGUACCCCUCUAAAGCCCCCUUAUUGUAGAUACUCGGCAUUGUCGGCAAUAUCAAAUCACGUAAUGUCCCACCUUAUGGCGGUGUCAUUGGACGGACCAAAGAAGGCCUUAAGGAAAAUAUUUCUUUCUUUGAAUCUAAAAGAAUUAUGCAUGUACAAUACAAAAUUUUUCAUAAAAUUUAAAGUAUGAUGCUGAAUUUUUGAACGAACAUUUUGACGAAAUGUUUGAAAGAACUUCAUACUCAAUUAUUCAUUGUAGUCCUCUUCAAUUAGGGUUAGAAGAAAGCUUGUUGCCUUCUUCUCUUGUUCUCGUUCGUUUGCGAUGUGGCGUUGACGCCUUAGGCCUCACCAACGAGCGGCAUGCAUGUGCAGUUGGACGGGAUGUGGGUUUUGGUUUUCGGCCUAUUGAUCAGAGAAUGCAACGAAGUGGGUCUAAGGUCUUGUUUGGUAUAGCUUCGCUUAAAAAAAAUCAACUUCUAUUUGAACUUUUAGAUUUUUAUAGUGUUUGGUAAAUUAAAGAAAAACAGCGUUUAACAAAAUAUUACAAGUCAUUGGCAACAGAUUUUAGAAACAACCUCAUGUUUAUUUUUAAAAACAGUUAUUAUUAAAAACACAGAAAAAUAAUAUUUUAUAUCUUAGCAGCAUUUUUGAAAAUAAUAUUUACCAAACUCUUUUAAUUCACAAUUAAUUAUUGUCAUAGUACAACAGUUUAUUUUAAAAGUCGUAGUAAUAUCAAACUAGCCGUAAGUCAUUUGGAUCUUGGUUUACGUCGGUGACUGCAAAGGGAGGAGGUGCACGGUAGAAGAGGGUUCCCAGCUAUGUGAUAUUGGUCGUGAUUUUACAUCUUGCAACAAGGAUUUGGGAGGACGAUGUUCAAUUUUUGGUGGUUCUUGUUAUCAGGAUUAUGGGUGCUCAAAUUUUGGGGUGGUGUGGUGGAGGAUGGCAGCUGUUGAUGCUCUGUCGACGACGUUAGUUCGAAGACGGUGGGAAUCCAUGAGCGGUGACAAAGCAAUGAUUUGGAAGUGAAGGUAAGUGGUGCGGCAUGUGCAACAGCGUAGUAGGGAUGUAUUCACUUGGGCCCUUUUUACCCUGACUCAGUUGUGGAAAUGUUGGGCCUAGUAGGUUUUGAACCUCGGGCUUCGUCCUAGGUCCAAUAGAGUUUUUAUUUUAUUUUAUUUUAAUAUUGUUUUUAUUUACUUUUGUUGUUUUAUUUUUUGGCGUCGUAUGUGAGUAAUAAGCUCAUAUGUUAGCUUUGUAGGCCUAGUAGGGCUCCGUGUCGGGAUGUGCACUCAAAUUGCCUUGUCUAUCUGCUCUUAAAUAGGGAGCAAGUUCUUUGUUUUGUUAAAUGGCCGUCCACUGGUAGGGUGAACCUAUAUCUGGGUUGUAGUUUUUUUUUUUCUUUUCUUCUUCUAGCGACAACAUAGUUGAGAAGUUGAAUGUUGCACAUUAGGAUGUGUAAGCGUGUUAAAUAUCUAAUGAUCUUUCAAGCAUGUCACCGUUGUGGGAAAACAAAUAUAUAUAGUCAUCAUUAAACAAUACUCUUUUCUGUUUGUUGUCUGGUUAAGUACAUGUUUAUUAUAGAGAUCCUUGAUAUUCAGGUCAUUAUAAUAAAAGGUUUAGUCUCAACGUCCCACCGUCCUCACACACAAACACCCCGUGUACUUGACACUUUUGUUAAUUAAGGCUUAAGUGUAACCGUACCAGCCUUUAUUAGAAAAAAUAAAAAUAAAAGUAUAGAAACAUAUUACACAUAUGUAUUUAUCGCUCGUGGAUAUGAUAGAGUAUCUUUGAAGAUAUUCGUUAUUGAGGCUAAGUCGAGCCUAUCUUGGAGGUCAAGAAGGAUCUUGGUGUAAAUCUAGGUUAUUAUCAAUAUAUCAUGAAUCUGGUAAUUAAGAGGAUUGUUUGGUUACCGAGAUUGAGCGGCAUGGAAGAUCUUUCAUGAAAAAGGCAAUAUGGACGUGUUUCAUGCUAGUUAUGAAGAGUUAUGAAUACGUGAUUGGAAGCACAUCACCUGUGCCAAAUCUGUGCCACCAACUAGAAUUUGACAUGUCAGCGCUACCCUAACACCUCAAUAACUCUGUUAACUCUAAUCUUAUUUUUAAUUUUGAAAAAGUAUUUUUCUCUUUUCCUCUUUAUUUCUCGUGAAUCAAUCCCAGAGCUGGCUUCUUCAUCGAACAAAAAAUUUCUCCCACUAAAAUCAACUUCGUCCUCCGUCCUCCGAUGAGGCUAAAAGAGAUGAACAAAAAUUGGGAUUGAAAUCCGCAGCAAGUUUUGGAUUGAAAUCAAACAAAAUCAAAUUAAAUGUUGAAGGUUGUCAUCAGGUGCAGAAGGAGACCCAAUAGAGAAAUUCUUAUCAGGGUGCUGCUGAGUUUGUUGCAGUCUUGCAGAGGUGUAGAGAUUAACCUAUUUUCAGCGAUAACAAUUAGAAAGUAAUAACAAACCCAGUAAGGGAAAGGAAAAGAAAACUAGAAACAUCGUCAGGGAUAUCAAUCGAUCUUGUUAAAUCUGAAAAUAAAUCCAAAUUGGUCUUCACUGAAUAAAGGGCUUCCUCAAUUUGCUUCUCCUGAAAAGAAAACAAGAUGGGUUCUUGUAGAUUGAGAAUAAGGCUGACGAUUAUACAUAUUGAAGCUCAAAUUAGAAAAACAAGAGAGGAAAUUGGGAAAUAGAAUUGUGGGUAAGGCAAUAAAUAUAAUUAAUGAUGUUAUCUAUUGGAAUUUAGGAUGACAGAGUUGCAGGGGAAGAAGAUAGAAAUGAUGAGAAGAAGAAUCUGCAUCUGACGAUGAACAUGGUAGAGGAACAGUUGGAUGAAACAUUAAUAAUCAAUACGUUAUAUUUAUUUUGUUAAGAAAAUAGCUAGAAAACAAUAAUACUUAACGGUGUGAACUUCUGUCAAGUCAAUGGACAGGUGGUAAAUUCUUGUUGGUGGCACAGAUUUGGCACAUGAGUUUUUCGGAACAAAUGAUUUACUUCUGACGUGAUUACCUUAGAAAUUAAGGUAUAAGAGACUUGGUUCAAUUAAGGAAGGAUAUCAUGCAAAGAGGUCUUAAUUACUUUGAAGCAUAUAACGUCCAGAAGCUAUAUUGAGUAAGGAUUACAUUCUUUAAUGAUGGCAUCUAAGAGAAAUUCUCAGGUGCAACAGCUCCACCACCUGGUACAUGCGCACCAAAUUAUUCUUUAAUACAUUGUUUUUUUUUUUUUUCAUACCUGCCUUUUUCUUCUUCCUCUUUUUUUCGGCGAAACAGAUCCCCUCUGGCGAAGCUUUUUCACAACUCUUCUUCUUCUUCCGUCCUCUGCUUCUUCCUUCCUUCCUCUCUCUUCUUCUUCCUUCCUCUCUUUUCUUCUUUUUCUUUCCUCUGCGUGAUUUGCACAGGUUGGUGGAGGCGCGGCUCGACGGCGGCAGGUUGUAAUACCCCGGAAAUUUAAUAUUAGUUUUUAAUUUUAUUUGGGAAUUUUUGAGUUAGAAGUUAGUGUGUUUUGAGAUUCGAAGGAAGAGCGGAAACGUUCGGAUGCUUAUUUUACCUGAAACGGUUUUAGGGUUUUGAAGGGUCAAGAGUUGACUUUUUAAUCUGUUGGGUUUCUCGAGAAACUUCCUUCAUAGAAGUUGUAGAGCACGACGAUACGAGUUCGUAGACACGUGGCACGCGUAAAAUGGACUUCGUAUGAGGAAGUUAUGGUAAGCGGAAAAUUGUGGCUUUAGGGGAUUUUUGGGUUUAAAUAAGAAAAGUGUUAGGUUAAAUUUCAUUUUUUCCGGAACCAUUUCUUCCCUCUUCUCUUUCUCUCCCGCGCCUCCCCUUCGAUAUCUGAGUUUUCCAACCGACCCGACCCGGACCCGGCGACCCGACCUGACUUUUUCGGCCAGCUCCGGCCGACCCAGACGACGGCACCGGUCGGGUUCUCUUCCUCUCCUCCGUUCAAGUUGCCCUGUGGUGGUGACUUGCGCCGAUUCAGUCCCGAAGUGGUGACCCGAAGCUUGGAAGUCCGGGUUGGAGACCGGUCGGGUUUCCCACCUCCGGCGAUGGCGACGCAGCUUGGAAACGGUCGGGAUAGGAGCUCCUUGGCGUCCUGGUUCGUUUCCGAUGGUCUUGAAGCUCGACUCUCGGUGUGGAGUGGUGGUGGUGAAUUCCAACUUUUCCGGCGAGUUUUCGGUGAUUUCCGGCCGAUUCCGGCUGAACUGGUUGGACCUUCAGGUAUGAAAAGUGUCCCCCUUGUAGUAAUCUUCAAGUUUGAUGUUGGAAGUUUGUUGAGAUUGUGAAGUUGUAGGGUGGCGCGUGGGGCCCACUCGCCGCCGCCGGUGGUGGCGCGUGGCGGCGCGUUAGGCAGGAUGUGUAGGUUUAGUUACUUUGGUUAGCUAGUUCUUGUUGUUGUGAGCAUGUUGGUAUAUUAUGAGAUUAGGUCAAGUUUGAUUAAGUUUUGCUUGUUAAAUUCUUUAUUAUUGUAGACUUGUGCGAAGUGUUGAGGUAGGAGAAUCCAAAGUUAGGCACUGAGGGAAGGUAGUUAAGUGUUCAAUGACCUUGGGAGGUCUCGGAAGAAGGUUGUCCUUUUUUGGGCAAAGCUCGGGUUAAGGCUUGUUAAGGGUGCAAUGUUCUUUUGGUUCUUUUGGUUAAGUGGUUAUUAAUUUAUUAAUUGUGUAAUUAUAGGCGACUUGCGAAGUGUGUUGAGCUUGGUUCUUGAGUUUCCUUUGUGAAGACGCAGCGGGAUUUUUAGGUGAGUAACAUCUCACCAAGGUCCACUUUCGGACCAAUUAUUUAUAAUUAUUAUGAUGAUGAUUGUGAUGUUGAUUUUGAAGAUGAUUAUGAUGAUGAUUGUGAUGUUGUUUUUGAGGAUGAUGAUGAUGAUAAUUAUUAUGAUGAUGAUGAUAAUGGUUUUGAUUGAUGAUUAUGAUGCUAUUUUUUUAUUGUGAGUAAAUCUCACAUGGGUUCUUAAGGAACCGAAUUUAUCUUAUAAUUUUGUUAUUAUUAAUUGUGAAAUUGUCCUUGAAGGAAAAUGACUUUGUUUUUUUAAAAAUAAAUGAGCUUGAUCGUCAACGGCUCAUGGUAAGUGAAAACAAGUUUUCUGUUAAAAAUAAAUCUUUCAAAAGGACUUUCGAUCAUGUGAUAUUGUGAUGUUGAAAUAUGGUUGUUGAUAGAUUAUUCUAGUGGGAAUAUCUAUAAUUGUUCAUAUAAAUAUAUAUCUUUGUGGAAUGAUAUAAUUUAUGAUGUGCUCUUUGUGUUGUUGAUGAUGAUAUUUUUUUUAUAUUUUGAAUUGUUGUUUAAAUAGUCAAACCGGGUUCCUAGCCUUUAAUCGGGUGAUAGGUUACGGUUAUGAUUAUAUUAUUAUUUUGUGAUUUGAUAAGUGUUAUGAUGGGAGAGUAUUGGAAUGUGUGCCUUAGUGGUGAUUGCGUGCAUUAGUUGUGUAUGUGUGUGUCUUAGUGGUGAUUAUUAGAUUAGGAGUCUUCGUGGUGGACCGGGAACCAAGCCUUGGCCGGUGGAUUGGUUACGGUCAGUAUAGAGCUCUAGUCUGUCAGUCGUUACUUCAUGGGGGAUGACUAAGUGUUGACGAACCCAUGAGUACGCAUUUGUUUGGUUACUUAUGGGGGAUGACUAAGUGUUGGCGAACUCAUAAGUAAGAGUAAAGAAAUGUUUGUGUGAUGUUCUUAUGUGUUGUUUUGAUUUCUUGCUUUGAGUAUCUCCUGAACUAUGCUUAUCCGCAGGAGAUUCUUAAAUCUUAAUUGUGUGAUUUUAAUAGAAUUCUUGAACUAUGUUUAUUUAUAGGAUUUAUUUAUGAUUUUGGGUGAUUUUAAAUUAUUGUGUUUUCUUAAUUGUUUCUUUUGAAUUCUCUUGCUUUUAGGCGAUUCCUGAACUAAGUUGCUAAUGCAGGAAUUACCAGUUUUAAUUAUAUGUGAUGUUAGGAUUGUUGGGUUAUUAUUUUGGGAGUUACUCAUACGAGCUUUUUAGCUUACCGGGUUUGUUGUUUACAACCCGGUGCAUCAAUUCAUGGUGUAGGGGUUAGACCUGCAGGUGAUGAUCAGAAGGUAGGAGGCAGUGGCCUAGGAGCUGGGUUUUUAACGAUAUACAUUUAUUUGUAUUUUAUGGUAGUUUUUAAGCUCAUGUAAGCGAAGUAGUUUAUUACUAGACUUUUGGAAGUUGAUGUAAUUAAGGAGAUUAAAUAUUUAACUCGGUUGAUGAGUUUAUCGACAUUUAUAUUUCCAGUAUUUGUUUUUAGUUUUGAAAAUUGUUGAGCAGGAUUAUGGGAUAUUAAGAUUUUGAGUUUUAUCAUGCCCAAAUUUUUGAAAUUUUAUCCUUCGAAAAUUGGGGUGUGACACAGGUUGUCAGGCUUAUGGUGUUGGCAGCGCUGGGGGGGGGGGGGUGUUAGGUGACGGCUGGGUAGAGGGAGCUGAGGGGAUCGACGGUUUUGUCGGAGAAGAGAGAGGAAGGAAGAAGAAGAGCUGCCCAAAGAAAAAAAAAAAAAAAAAAAAAAAAAAACAAACGUGUCGCUGUGUGACUAGUGGGUCGCAUAGGACACAUGGUGCGGCUGUCGCACGUAAGAUUUUCUCAGCAUCUGAUGAUGAUUACAUGAGAUAUGGUGAUGAUGCACGUCCAAAAUUGAAGAGUCACACUUGGAAAAAUAUCUUUACUUAGAAGGUGUUGACGUUAGAAGAUCUCCAAGAAUUACAUUUGAGGUGAAUAUGUUUACCUAUAAUAUCGUAUCUUUAUGAUACACGGAAAGAUACAUGCAGUCUAAUUAUCUUUCUUUUUCUAUUGGGUAAUUACUAGGGGAAGAUAUGUAGGAUAUCUCAGAGAUAUUGUUUAAUGGCUCGAUUAGGAAAAUAUCUUUCCUGAUCUGAUUAGAGAUCUGAUUUGUUUCAAAGAUAAGUUAUUCACAAACCUAUUCUAUAUAUAAAGAGGUUCUAGGCGAAUGAGAAAAGGAUCGACAAUUCAACAAACCCUAGCACACUUGCAAGUUAGACGCCUCUUAGGAGCACCCAAUCUACCAAAAAGCCUCUCCAGGGACCAUUGCAAGCCCGAGUGCGCAACAACAGAUCAAGAAAGUUACGCUGAAACCAGAAGCGUGGGCACACCGACAUCUCAAAAACACUAGCCAAACAAAGGGAAAGAGAGGAAUAAGUAGAGGAGAAAUUACGACGUUUAGUGAAAUGUUAGAAGAAAUGAUAGUGCGAGUCCUAUCAAGACUGCCACCCAAGUCUUUGGUACGAUUUAAAUGCAUCAGCAAGUCAUGGGACACCAUUAUCAAUGAUCCUAGCUUCGUGGCCGAGCACCUUUCCAUUUCUAGGCACGAUGAUUUCGCUUCUGCCACUUGCGUCCUUGUCAGGCAUACUCUCUUCCAGGAUAGAAGCAUUACGGAUGAGGAAGAGAUUGCUGCUUGCCGAGCACCUUUCCAUUUCUAGGCACAAUGAUUUCGCUUCUGCCACUUGCGUCCUUGUCAGGCAUACUCUCUUCCAGGAUAGAAGCAUUACGGAUGAGGAAGAGAUUGCUGCUUUGAAGAAACAGCAAAAUUUCGACAAUAACAGCAUAGAUCUUUUACUGUCAUUACUUCAUUUUGGCAACGAUGAUGACGGUGAUGGCGAUAAUCUUACUUUUGCUGUUGAAGAACUUGCUGUUAUGUUUCCUUCGAAUACAAUUCCCUCGUAUCUACGAAUUAUAGGGCAUUGUGAUGGGAUUAUUUGUCUAAGCACUAAUGUCGAUGAUGUCUUGUGCAAUCCCACAAUCAGAGAAUUCAAUGUUCUUCCCAAGUCUUGCGUCCUUUAUGAUCUCCCUCCUAUGUCUGAAGAUGAGGAUGAAUAUACUGCACCAUGGUCAAAUGCAGCUGCUAUUUGAUUUGGCCUUGAUUCCAAAGCUAAAGAGUACAAAGUUGUUAGAGUUGUUGAAACAACUUCGGGUCUUGCUACUCAACAUCCUACAAGAGCAGAGGUAUACACCAUGGGUGCUAAUUCUUGGAGAGAGCUCGAGAAUGUUGAUACAGCUAUAGGCAGUGGCGUAGCCAGAAAUUUUAUCAAGCAGGGGCAAAAUUUAAAUAGUCACAAUUUACAUAGGUCAUUGUAUGUUAAAUAAUGAUUAUAUUAAUACUAUAUAUAGUUAAAAUCAUCUAACCACAAUAGCUUCAAUUUAAAAAAAUAUAUAUAUCACAUUGUUUGAUUUAUCCCAAAAAAAUAAAAUAAAUUGAUGCCGUGUAAAAAUAGAAGAAAACUAAUAGUACUCCAAUGUGUUAUACACUUUACUUAUACCCGAGAAAUUGACAAAUAUUUCUUCUUAUUGUUGCUUGAAUCUAUUGAGCAAGUCACAAGCAAAAUCUUUUGUUAAAGAAAGAUAAAUACAUAUAAGCUUAGACUGUAAAUAAGCUUCAUUUAUUGUCUGGUCAUAAUAUAGUUAGCCUAUCUUAACCUUUAGACUAGGAAUAGUGGACAAUUAUUUCAGAAGGGUCAUUCUCAGCCAAUGGACUUGGUUUCAUAUGAAAGAAGCAUAAAACUCAACCAAUCAGCAACAAUUCUCAAAUGUCGAGAAGGGUCAGUUGACCUCUCUCGCCCUCUAUUGGCUACGCCCCUGGCUAGUUAAUUAUGAGAUUCUGGAAGUAAAGAAUUAUACUUAUGAGUGUAAUUAAUUAUAGGAUGGUACUAUUAACACACUGAUCAUUUUUNNNNNNNNNNNNNNNNNNNNGGUCUAAGUUCUUGGUAGAGAGGNUCGAGAAUGUUGAUACAGCUAUAGGCAGUAGGCGUUAGACCAGAAAUUUUAAUUCUAAGCAGGGGUCAAAAUUUAAAUAAGUCACAAUUACAUAGUCAUUGUAUGUUAAUAAUGAUAUAUUAUACUAUAUAUAGUUAAAAUCAUCAACCACAAUAGCUUCAAUUUUAAAAAAAUAUAUCACAUUGUUUGAUUUAUCCCAAAAAAAUAAAAUAAAUUGAUGCCGUGUAAAAAUAGAAGAAAACUAAUAGUCCAAUGUGUUAUACACUUUACUUAUACCCGAGAAAUUGACAAAUAUUUCUUCUUAUUGUUGCUUGAAUCUAUUGAGCAAGUCACAAGCAAAAUCUUUUGUUAAAGAAAGAUAAAUACAUAUAAGCUUAGACUGUAAAUAAGCUUCAUUUAUUGUCUGGUCAUAAUAUAGUUAGCCUAUCUUAACCUUUAGACUAGGAAUAGUGGACAAUUAUUUCAGAAGGGUCAUUCUCAGCCAAUGGACUUGGUUUCAUAUGAAAGAAGCAUAAAACUCAACCAAUCAGCAACAAUUCUCAAAUGUUGAGAAGGGUCAGCUGACCUCUCUCGCCCUCUAUUGGCUACGCCCCUCGCUAUAGGAUGUCGCCCCUCUUGGGCUCCUUCUUUUGUCUUGCACUUCAAGGGAAUUUGUUAUUGGUGGGCAUUUGCUGCGGAAGAUAAGGAAGUCAUCCUUCCAUUCAAGGAUUAAAAUAUCGGUAUCAGUAGAUAUAUCGGUCAUUUGAAAAAGGGAGAUUUCGGAUAUAUCGGGGAAACCCGGGAAAAAUACGGUAUUUUGGGAAGAAUUUUUUUUCGAAAAUAUUUAAUUUAUUGGAUUUAUAUAUAAAUAUUACAAACAUCAACUUCAUCUACAUCUAGAAUGAGAAUCUAGGUUGUUGAUAAGAGUCAUAAGACACACGCUGGUCCACAAAAGUACAAUAAUCAGACCAAGACAUAUAACUCAUAUAGUACAAAUUGUAGUGUUGAAUAUGAUAAUCAUAUAUGUCUUUAGAGCUGCUGAUUGUUUCCCCUAUAAGUGGAUAGUAAGGAUGAAUCCAACUGGUUGACUGAUCACUGACUUUCGCGCAUUGAUUAUAGCCAUAAACAUUAUAGCCAUAUUGAUUGUUGUCUUCUUGGGAUUCAUUUGAGGUUCCAGUCCCACUACCUAAACUGAUAGAAUCAAAACUUAGCGCAACUGAAGCAACAUCUUGAUCAUCAUUUGGACCUCUAGUCCUCCUCCCAUACAUGGUAUCCUCUUGCGCUCCAUACCUAGUACUUCUAUAACCAUGAUCAUGGGAGGCAUGAUCGUAAUCACUCAAGAUAUGGUGGGAGUGUGGGACGUUGGAGUCACAUGACUCACAUCUCUCUCUCUCUCUCUCUCUCUCUCUCUCUCUCUCUCUCUCUCUCAUCUCUAUAAUUGUGUUCUCUAUCUUAUGUCACAGACUCACGGUCUCACCAGUACACCUGUGUUCUCUAUUUUAUACUCAUUCUCUUUCUCAAGUGUAAAUAUUCCUCCACUAUCCACUCAUCUUCAAGUUUGAUAAUUGUGUAAUAGAUCAAUCUGCAUCCAGAUAUAUCUCGAAAGGAAUCAUGCUCUUCUCGAGAGUCGAAACCACCACUCUUCAUUGGGGUACACCUCGAGGGAAUUACUUCUCUUCCGGAUAUCAUUUCAAUUUUUUACAGAUAUUUUUUUAAUAUGUCGGUGAUAUAUCGAAAAUAUCAUAAAUGUCGGAGAUAUUUCCUGAAUAUCGGUGAUAUUUGACGAUAUUUCUUAAAUAUCGAGGAAAUAUUGUAGAUACGGUGGAAGAUAAGAUAUUAACCUUUAUAGAUAUAUCAGUCCUUCAAAAAAAGGAGAUAUCGGAGGAUAUAUCGAAUAUAUCACAGAAAUUUUAAUCCUUGCUUACAUUUGAUACGAGUGAUGAGCAAUUUCAUCGGAUACCGGUGCCAGAUUGUUUUGAUUUUUAUAACGAGAGACAUUAUAGGGGCCUUGCUGUGUUGAAAGAAUGCAUUGUUCUUCUGACCUAUGAAGCAGAAGAUGAAGUUCCUAAAUCUUUUAACAUAUGGAUGAUGGAUGAGUCUACAGGUGUUACGUGUUCUUGGAUAAAAUACUUGGCGUUCGGACCGGUGGAAGGGAUCAUGAUUCCACUAGUAUUUUGGAACCGUGAGGAGCUUCUAAUGGUUACCAGUGAGAAAUUUUUUAGAACCACGUGACAUUGACAUUGUCUAGUGAUUCUCCUUACCUAUAAGAUGAUGUUGCCAUGUGGAAAUUUUGACUUGUCUGAUUGUCAGUUAACAACAAACUAACAUAAUUCUCCACCUCUUUUCUCUUGCCGUCAGAAAAAGGCAAAAAAAAAAAAAUCAAACCCAGAUCUGCAGAUUUUAAGAGGGGUUGAUAGAUACCCAGAUCUGCAAUCCUCUUUUCUUCUUUUCUUUUUCUCAUCUUCAUGACUUUUGAUAUGAAUCAAAGAACAGAAAAUUGAUUCUAUACUUAGUAUAUGUAAUCAAGUUACACCAAAUCAAACCCACCUAUAUUCAUUAUUAGGAGGCGUUUGGCAGAGGAGACUAGUUUAGAUUGACAUCACAACCAGACUUGAUUAGUAUGGGACUUGGAUUUAUCAUACUUAUCUGGUGUUUGAAACAACCAGAUUACAACACAACUGGAAUUCGAACAGAAAUACAGAAUCAAUGAACCAACAAAUUAAUUAAAGUUCAAUCCCUUUUUGAUUCCAAAUAGAUUAUUGGAACGGGUUAUCCCUAGAAUAGCCCAUGCUUUCAGGAUAGAUUCAUGUUCUCCGGCGGGGCACACUCAAUCAUUCCGGCGAUCUCAAUAUUUUGCAGAACACCGACAUCGGCGAAAUCAAAAGGUCGGUUGAGAAGAGUAAAAAAGAAGCAUAAAAUAGAAGAAGAAGAAAGGAGAUGAAGCUGAUGAGAGGCAAUAAUUAGAGUACGAGACCUAUGAAGGAGAGGAGAUGAUGUUCAUGUCUGGAGGGAGGUUGAAGAACAGAUAAGUACGUAUUGAAACUGGAGUAGCGAUAGAUGUCUUUGCACUGUAUGACGGCAACCUUAACGACAGAGUUUAAGCGUUUAAUUUAUUAUUCAUAGGUAUCAAAAUUUCCACGUGGAAACAUCAUAUAGGUAAAGAGAACCACCGGGCAAUGUCACGUGGUUCUCUGAGAGCGUUGGAAAAUUUCUCCAAUGGCAGUCGUAUGGUUUCCUAUAACAUAGGUACCAAAAAGCUCCACCGUUUAAGGCGUGGAAGGCGCACGCUAUUUGCAAGCUGUUAAUUAUGUAAAUAGUGUUAUUUCCGUCAAAGAGACCGCAAGCCUAAUAUUGAGGCCAUAGAUAAUUUCUAGUCAUAAUAGUUCUCAUCCAAAAAAAUUAUACUUCUAAUAAAAAGUCAAAACAGUACUUGAUUUAGCCCAUUGUAAAAUCCUUUUUUGUCAUCAGAAAAUUCACACUAUAGAUAUCCGCCCAAUUCAUACGAGUAUUCAUUUUCGCACAACUAAUUUCCAGAAAUUUAAUCAUUCAUUAGUUGGUAUUUAGUAACAAAACAUGAGACAACCAAAAUUUAAGUACUGUACCCCAUGUAAUCCAAAUCAUCAAUCCACCAGCUUUCUUGCUUAAUUUCAUCAAAAAUAACACAAACAUCAUUUACAACAUCAGAAGAGUAUAGAUAGAAUGUCAAGACCUCAUUUAUUUUUUACUCAAGAACAUCCAUUGGAGGCUCAGCAUAACAUAAGAAAAAGCCUGUUAGUAAUGUAACAAAAUGAGAUUCACCAUAACAGAACGAGCUUGAUUCAAGGUUUACAAUAUCUGAAAAGGAUGAUUCUCAACAUACAAAGAUAAGGCCAAUUGACAGGGAAAGGGUACGUAACUCUUUAAGCUGGGUUAUGAUACUCAGAAGACGAACACUUAUGAAAUAGAUAAACAUAAGAUUCUUCAUUUCUUCCUGAUGAUAAGCACAGUUAAUCGCCAAUAUCCUCAAUCUAGAUGUUCCAUCUGCAAAGCAAGGCAAACAAUAAGGAACACCCACAAUACAGAAAGGACCAUUAUAAUAUUCAGUAGAUGCCAUAGCAUGACUACUCCUUAGUGAUUGCAAUUCAUCAGAUCAUUUGAAAGCAUACCAUUAUAAGGAACAAAUGUUUUGGCAUGACAAUGCCUCACUGAUUCUACCAAAGGAAAUAUCUGCUUUAAUAAAUAAAAAACAAUAACAAGUACACAUGAAGGAUCAUAGAUACAAUGACAGUAUUAAGUGCAGGCAUACCUUCCAAAGACCGUCAUUAAGAUAAUGCAUGUUGUCAACUCCAAUUCCCUUGUUGAUCAGCUUACUGUACGCCAAACAGAGGACUCAACUUGUUGAAUAAACCAAUCAAAAAUAGAUAAGUAAUCUAACUCUGAUACACAUAUGAUGUUGCCAUAAGAUGAACUUAGAGAUGUCUAUAUAACAGACGGUGCCAAAUAGAAAGGUCUACAUUGACCACCUACUCCACUGAGGCACAACCGCACAACAAUAAAAUUUUCAUGUCAUUCCAGGUCAACAAAUACAAAUUACUGAUAUUGGAUUCAACUAACAAAUAUCUCUUCCACAUUUUUACAGGCUUAGGAUAACAGGAGAAGCAGUAAUCAAACAAAUUGAACAAUUGGUUACGCUACUUGAGGUUUAUACCAAAUAACAAGUGGGAAUAAAAAGAAUAAAACUGUAAACAAUGCUAAGGUGUUUGUACUUUGUAGAGCAGAAAUCAUGUGGUAGACAAGGAUGUAUUAUCAAAUGCGAGUAUGAGCAACCAUAGUUACUCUUUCUUCAUUCCUUUUAUUCAAUAAAUGAGGAUAAUACUUGGCUAACCAGAAAGACACAUCAGUAAAGUUUUAAACAUUGUCUGUCAGAUAUUUGAAGAUUGAAUCAGUCACUGCAUACUCCAUCACUUCCUUUUUCUCACACUAUUUAGUUGAAAUUUAAUAUAAGACCUUAACUUACAUUUCUUUUGCUGACAUUUUUGUGAAGCCAAUAGCAAGGGCAUGCUGCUUUCCUUCUGCCAUUAUUGCCUGACAGUAUGCAGUCCCACAGAUCAGAAUCAUAAACUUCUUAUCUCCCUUACAUGUGAAGGAAACUAAUCCAAAUCAAUUCUACAUAAUACCUGAACUUUUUUUAUUUUCUAAAAUCAAAUCUCAGUCAGAACCAUAAAUAAGAAACCAAAAAGAAGCAAAAAACGAAAAACAAAAAACAAAAAAGGAUGUCGGAGUUUUACCACAGGAGUUUCUGCAGCAACUUCGUCAUCCAAAGCACCACCAGGAGAAGUUAAACCUGGACACAUUAUGUUUGCACCAGCAAGAACAAACUUUAUGGCACCCCUAUCUACUUGUAACUUUUUCAUUAUAUCUGGAUCUGCCAAAACCAAAACAAAAGAUUCCGGGUAUUCCCGGAUACACAUUAUUGAGGAAAAAUUCCAAAAACAAGGGAAUUCAUGUAGUUGCAUGAGAGAUUCAUAGAACGAAAUUAAUUAUGGUAUUUUCAAACAAAAAUUAUUAAGAGCAGUUUGAUCCUAUUAAUGCCCCUUUCCACCUUUUUCCCCUAAAUUCAUAAUUUUUGACUUGUGAUAUACUAUGAAAUCCUUCUCUCUUCAUUAUGGUACCAGCAUGUUGUUGAAUGGAUUCUUCCAAGCACAAGAACUGCUUCCUCAGAGUAGGGCUCAUUCUUAUUUGCUGAUCCCACAGAUUAGAUGGUUUCUAUUGUCAUCUCAUUCAAAAUACCUUCUUAUUUACUAAUUUAUUCUGGAAAAUUUGUGAAAACUGUCUAGUCAUUCCCAUCAUCAUCCUGGAGUUAAAACAAAUCAUUUAUCAUUCUAUUCUCAAGUGUAAACAGAAGCAAAGUUUUUGGUACAACUACCACUUAGCAGUUUAUUAGAAGAUCCUGCCAAAUCAUUCACUCCUAAAUCUUUUUUACACCCUUACAAGGAAGAAGCCAAAAAAUAACUUGACCGAAAAAAACCACGACAACCUAAAAUGAGAUACAGAUAGUUUAUUUGGAAAGAACAUUUUACAUUGGUGAAGCAGUCUGAGAGUAGGCAUAUAUGGUCCAUCACGUAUGUUGAAAAAUAGUGGCACACUGUUUACCACCACCAAGUUUAGAUGGUUCUGACUGCCAAGUGGAGGUUGAAAGAAGUUAUGAGAUAAAUUGGUUAUUAUUGCAGAGUUAGAAGUAAACCGUAUUAGCAGGAACAACAGAGUCAAACCAUUUAGCAACAAUGAGAGGAGAUUUCUUUGGAAGCAAAUCAUCCAACACUUGUUCCAGUCCAGGGUACUGCAAGUAGAGUUAAAUUUGUGUCAAAAACAUAAGCAAAAUAUAUCUCGAAGCAUCAGUAAUACUAUGUAGAGGCCACUGGUCGUAGAAUAGUUUUACCUCUUCUGCAAUACUUUGUCGAAUUUUACGCUGGACAGAUGCCUUUACUUGGUUUUGUGCCGAUACCUCUUCAGUUGAAAAUCUGCAUUGUAACAAUAUAUGAAUUGGUGAUGGAAAAACAUGUUUAGCGAGAUAGAUUGCACAGUUCAAGAGCUUGCUUCUCCAAAAAGCAGCAUAAUUGCACAAAAAAUAAACUCACCAGAGACAGUUCAACAUUUCACACUUGUAUCUAAUCAUUUAAAGUUUUCUUAUAACCACAAAAAAUAACUGCCCAACUCACCUCCUUACUUUCUAGUUUCUACUCCAGAAAAAAUAAAAAAAUAAAAAAUAAAAAGCACAAAUGCAAAGCCAAAAAAUCGAAAAUUACAACCCUUAGAAAAACAUAAUCAAACAAAGCAAGAAUCUUUAAUUAAGGUUCAUCGAAUUAAACCAAACCUAUGCAUCAUCCGUGUCAAUUAUCAACAAAGAAUGGAACAAGUGCCAACCCAGAUACAAAAUAACAUUGAUAGAUAGUUGUAUGCGGGAUUGUGUUUAUAAGCUUACUUUUUGAACAUGUUUGCAGAUGGAAGGAAAGAACAGAUCUAUGAUCUUCGACUCCCAAGUAGAAAUAAAAUAAAAAUCAACUGGUUAGGGCGGGAUAGAACCGAACACUAAAACCUUGAGCUCUGUUUUUAUUUUUCCUGGAAAAACUGAGACUGGUGCGGGGAUCAGUUUCGCAGCUGCGAACUAUAGUCCGCGACUCCUCGUUGGAGGCAAGUGGUGCGCCACUUGCGGGCUUUUACACUCGCCUGGCUCGAAAUGAGAUAAUGUUUGGGCUUAAACGAUUUGGUUAUCUGAAUGGGCCGUAUAAUCUAGGACAUCAUUGCACAACAAAUAAAGUUGAAGCGUUUAAUGCCACUAGUCCCCAAGUCCACAUCCAUAUGGGGAAGAGCAUAAAAAUUGUCGGUUGUACAACUAGGUAUUGAGGCAUGAAUGGCAACAAUAGAAGGAAACUAGACAAAAUCCCCGUGGGUUGCUGCGGGUAUGGGUCACCUCGUGAUCUGUUCUAAUAAUAGUUAUUGUUCAUAUGAAGUAUGAAGUUGUUUUAUUUUUUUAUCAUGUAAAUAACUCAAAUAUUACAAUUAGUUUUUCGUGAGUUAAACUCAUAACCUCAUAUUUUUUAAAGAGAGACUAUGUCGCUAAAUCAAAUGGUAUUAGGCGUAUGAAAAUCAAGCAUAUGACGGUUUUUACAUGAAAUUCUUUGAGUGAUAGUGUGGCUAACUUAUAAACAUUUGUAUGAAAAUUAGAGUGAUUAUAUAGUGAGUUUUCAGUUAGCACGAUUUUUGUUGUGUAAGCUUAGUUUUAGUGCAUCAAAGUGACAAUUAUGGCAUGACAUAAAUAUGACUAUGGCAUAUGACCCAUUACUCUUUAAAACUUUUGAGACACAACAUUUUAUGCCCUAAGUUAAUUGUGUUUUGUGAGAAAACUAUUAGAAGGAUUAAAUUGUGUUUUUGUUAUUUUUUGGAUUUAGGUUAAUGUUUUUGGUUAGGACAAGAUGUUUAAUGCAAUACUAUAUAUAACAGUGCGCUUAAGUCGUGGGGGUUUGUAACAAAUGUCUGGCAAAAAUAAAUGGCUUUCUGGCCAGCCAAAUCCGACUGCAUAGGGGCCUCUAUCUUCUUUUGGCAACGAUAUCGAUGAGGGAUAUAUAUAUAUAUAUAUAUAUAUAUAUAUAUAUAGCCCCCUUCCAUUGAGGGAGUACAAUUUAGUUACUCAAUGGCUAUUGUGUUCAACAAAACAAGAAAACCAGCGACAUAGUAUCUUCUGGAGUACAUGCACUAUCAAAGAAAUGCCCAUGUCAUUGAUAAUAGACAGUGGAAGUUGCGAGAACUUCGUCUCAAAGAAAGUGGUGGAACACUUCAAUCUUCUUACUACGAAACAUAGGGCUCCAUAUGCCAUUGGAUGGAUCAAGAAAGGCCCAGAAGUUCGCAUCACCGAAACAUAUAAAGUGCCAAUUUCAAUUGGGAAAUUCUAUCAAGAUGAAGUUGAACGUGAUGUGGUAGACAUGGACGCCAGCCACAUACUUCUAGGCAGACUGUGGCCGCAUGAUGUCAACACUAUCCACAAUGAAAGAGAAAACACAGUAUUGUUCAUAUGGGAAAAACACCAUAUUACUUUGAAGCCUAAGACCAAGCCUACAAAUUUGGUUUCACCAAAACAGUCUAACUUUCUUAUUGUUGUUGAACCUGGUGAAAAGGUGGAAGAACUUGUGAAGGAUGCAGAAGCUAUUUAUCCUUUGGUAGUUAGGGAAGUAAUGGUGGCUGAAAGCAACAAAGAGGAGAAGAAAAUUCCAAAAGAAGUCCAGCAAUUACUGCAGGAUUUUGAAGAAUUAUUGGAUGAUGAUUUUCCAAAUGAACUACCUCCUAUGCGAGAUAUUCAACACCAAAUCGAUCUUGUCCCUGGGGCUAAUUUACCUAACCUCCCUCAUUAUCGGAUGAGCCCUAAGGAGAACGAGAUACUUAGAGAGAAAAUUGAAGAGUUGCUGCGAAAAAGACACAUUCGAGAAAGCAUGAGCCCUUGUGCAGUGUCUGUUUUGUUAGUACCAAAGAAGGAUGGGAGCUGGAGGAUGUGUGUGGACAGCCGUGCAAUCAACAAGAUCACAAUAAAAUAUCAGUUUCCGAUUCCUUGACUUGAAGAUAUGUUGGAUGUCCUAGGUGGCUCAGUAGUGUUCUCUAAAAUUGAUCUAAGAAGUGGAUAUCAUCAAAUUCGAAUCAAACCAGGCGAUGAAUGGAAGACGGCAUUCAAAAGCAAAGAUGGGCUCUAUGAAUGGUUAGUCAUGCCGUUUGGAUUAUCUAAUGCACCUAGUACUUUCAUGAGAGUGAUGAAUCAAGUCCUGAAGCCUUAUAUUGGGACGUGUGUGGUGGUAUACUUUGACGACAUACUAAUCUACAACAAGAGCAAGGAAGAACACUUGCAACAUCUGCGCAAAGUUCUUCAAGUUCUCUAAGAAAAUAAGUUGUACGUGAACUUGAAGAAGUGCAGCUUCAUGACCAAGAAGCUUAUGUUUUUGGGUUUUAUUGUUAGCUCAAAAGGUAUACAUGUUGACCAAGACAAGGUGAAAGCAAUUCAGGAAUGGCCUACACCUAAAACUGUUGGUGACGUACGAAGUUUUCAUGGAUUGGCAACCUUUUAUCGCCGCUUUGUGCUAAAUAUCAAUGCUUUCACUGCACCAAUAACCGAAUGUCUGAAGAAAGACAGAUUUCAAUGGGGUGAAGAAUAGGAAAAGAGCUCUGCCAUGAUUAAGUACAAGUUAAGCACAGCACCGGUACUAGCUUUGCCUGAUUUUGACAAGAUUUUUGAGGUAGAAACUGAUGCUUGUGGAGUAGGAAUAGGGGCUAUCUUAUCUCAAGAAAGAAAGCCAGUGGCGUAUUUUAUUGAGAAGCUUAAUGAAGCUAGGCAAAAGUGGAGUACAUACGACCAGGAGUUCUAUGCGGUUGUUUGUGCCUUGAAGUAAUGGGAGCAUUAUCUAGUGCAGAGGGAAUUUGUGCUAUACACCGACCAUCAAGCCUUGAAAUAUAUCAACAGUCAAAGAAGUGUGAACAAAAUGCAUAUCCGGUGGGUUACUUUCCUACAAAAGUUCCCUUUUGUGAUCAAAUACAAGUGUAGAACACUUAACCGUGUUGCAGAUGCGUUAAGUCGAAGAAGCCAACUAUUGGUUACACUUUCUCAAGAGGUUAUUGGGUUUGAAUUUUUGAAAGAGUUUUAUGAGGAAGAUGAAGACUUCAAAGAAAUUUGGGCCAAGUGUGUGAAGCAAGAACCCUGCAACGACUUCUUCAUCAAAGAAGGGUAUCUUUUUCAAGGAAAUAGAAUAUGCAUACCAAGGUCUUCACUUAGAGAGAUGUUGAUUCGAGAAUUACAUGGAGGUGGCUUAAGUGGACAUCUAGGUAGGGAGACAACUAUAGCGAGUCUGGAGGAGAGAUAUUAUUGGCCUCAGCUGAAACGAGAAGUGGGAAACAUCGUCCGUAAGUGUUACAUCUGCCAAUCUUCUAAGGGACGAUCUUGAAAUACAGGACUCUAUACGCCUCUGCCAGUACCUAAGGGAAUUUGGGAAGACCUCACCAUGGACUUCAUAUUAGGGUUACCUCAGACACAACAAGGAGUUGACUCUAUAUUUGUGGUAGUGGAUAGGUUUUCAAAGAUGGCACACUUCAUACCAUGUAAGAAGACAUCUGACGCUUCUCACAUUGCAAGAUUGUUCUUUAAAGAAGUGGUCUGUUUGCAUGGAAGUGCCUCAGUCUAUUACUUCUGAUCGAGACCCCAAGUUUCUAAGCCAUUUUUGGAUUACUUUGUGGAAGAUAUUUGGGACUACGCUCAAUCGAAGCAUUACCGCUCAUCCACAAACCGAUGGACAGACCGAAGUUACUAAUAGAACAUUGGGGAAUAUGAUUCAGAGUACUUGUGGAGACAAGCCAAAGCAGUGGGAUGUUGUUUUGCCUCAGGUUAAGUUUGCCUAUAACAGUUCAGUUCACAGCUCUAUUGGAAGGACACCAUUUUCAGUGGUGUAUGUUUCACCUCCUAAACUUGUGGUUGACUUGGCUUAUGUUCCAAAGGGUAAGGAUUUUAGUGAAGCGGCUACGUCAAUGGCAAGAGAAGUGCAGGGAGUCCAAGAUGAGGUUAAGCAGAAACUGAAAGUUACUAAUGAGAGGUACAAGGCUAUUGCAGAUUCUCAUCGGAGUGAGAAGAUUAACGAAGGAGACACUGUGAUGAUUUUCUUACGAAAAGAAAGGUUUCCUAUUGGCACCUACAGCAAGCUCAAGCCCAGGAAGGAUGGACCGUACAAAAUUAUCAAGAAAAUCAAUGACAAUGCAUAAGUCAUUGAUCUGCCAGAUACUAUGGGAAUAUCCAAGACCUUCAACGUUAGUGACAUACAUGCCUACCAAGCUGAUGAUGAUGACGUUUUCUAUCCUGACAUAUACUCGAGGUCGAGUUCUUCUAAAGUGGAGGAGACUGAUAUAGAACAGCUUGCGCAAACAUUUGAGACACAUCUUAAUAGGAAGACAAAGAAAACAAAGUCAAAGCAGCAGCUUUGAAUCUGCAAAGCAGUAGCUUUGUUCCUGUCAAGACCCACCCAGAAUUUCACCCUGAAACCCGAAGUAAAUCCUGCGGGGACCACCUCCAAGGAAAGUUUACCAAAAAUUCGACAUAACAUCUCUUGAAAAUGGACAACCCUUUCUAUUAAUACAUGCAUACACUUCUGAAAAUCCAAAUCCAACCUUAAACUCUUGGAGCCUUCGUGCUCCCCAAAACACAACAUCUCCCAAUUUAUUUACUAACUCUAACAAUGGAAGCUGGGUUGGAGGCCGACCGAACGGGACCGGUGCGGUGGCGGUUGGUGGCCGGACGGCGGUGAACGGUCGGGUUGAAGUUCCGGCAGGGUGAUGGCUCGAGAGGAAAACCGGGAGAGAGAAAGAGAAAAGAAAGAGAGGGAGAUGGGUUUGGGCCUCUCCAAACCGGUCCAACACCUAUAUACCCACACCAACUCCAAAAUAAAACACCCCGAAAAAUAAAUACCCUAAUAAAAAUUACCUUUUACUAGCUAAAAUUUACCAAUUUUACCAUCGUCAUAUUUUUCUCCUAUGAAGAAUUCUCCGAAAUAAUCGUCCCUCAAAACCCCUCUAGGGACCAAUUAAACCAUAACUUAUUGACGGAGACGGUAAAAUUCUUAUUAAUACCAAGCUAGUAAAUAAGGUAAAAUUUUAAGGGUCGGGAUGUGACAAUUCUUCCCUCAUAAAAAUUUCGUUCUCGAAAUUUACAUACCUAACAAUCAAAGAGAUAGAAAUACUGCUGCCUCAUUUGCUGCUCUAACUCCCAAGUAGCUUCCUCUACUUGAUGACUUCUCCAAAGCACCCUGACAAAUGGGAUUGACUUGUUCCUAAACAUUUGCUCCUUUCGGUCAAGAACCUGUACCGGCUCCACAUCAUAAGUCAAAUCCUUCUUCAAACUAAUUGGCUGCUCUUGCAACACAUGAGAGGGAUCAACAAUAAACUUGCGAAACAUGCAUGGAUAUAUGAAACACAUUAUGUAUCUUGGAUAACUCCGGAGGCAAAACUAACCGAUACGCAAGAGAGCCAACUUGAUCUUAAAACCCAUAAGGACCAAUAAAUCUCGGACCAAGCUUUUCACGUUACCAAAACGUACCACCCCUUUCCAAGGAGACAAUUUUGAAAACACCCAAACACUCACUUGAAACUCAUGGUCCUUCCCGCGGACAUCUUUAAAACUCUUCUGGCUACUAAGAGCUGCCUUGAGUCUAUCUCUGACUCCUUUAACCUUUUCAUUUGAAUCCUGAAUUAUUUUAAAUCUUCUCGAAGACUCUAAAUCAUUCAUUGAACUACCACUAAGGUAUGCACACUCUUUCUUGAGCAAUGGAAAUAGUUAACCCAAAUAAAACGCAUACAUUUACUAUCACCAUCGGGCUAAAAUCUCCUAACAUCACGUAACAACCUCGUCAUUACGCUGCUCACAAACUCAACAAUGAAGCCCACUUGCAAGGAAACUAAAGUUCAAGUUCACGCACUCCCACAUGCUCAUAGGGGUCAAAAUUAAGACCUGCUAAUUGAACAUAUUUAAGGAUGCACACACUGCAUAACUGUAACAAUCACUUCUAAUACCGAGACACUUCGCAGAGUCUUUCGCGGAGUCAAAGCUCUCGCAAGUCCACAAGACAACCUUGCUCUGCCUAAGUGACCAGUCCACCAACAGAUGAUAACCUCGAUUCUCGAAAUGACAUUAUGAAAAGAUCAAUACCACGUCACUUAGGUCUCUCCACCAAAACUAUUACAUUACCAUUUUAUGCACCACAAACUAGCAGCUUAUGGGAAUUCCAACUCUCUCCUGAUUCUGCUAUCUCCACUAUUCUCUUUACCACAAACCAGAAGAUAAUCUGAAGCAUGACUAUCAUGUGGAAAUUGGAUAUUCCUCCUUGCUCGCCAUAAACAAAAAUGACAAAUAAUGCCCACGAAGAUUGGCACAGUCAAUUCAUGAUGCCAAACUUGACGUUGAAAUCCACAUAAAUAGAACACCUUCCUUAAGCAUUGACAAAAUUUACAUCUCCAGCCAUGCUACUUAUUCGGGUGCAAUCGCGACCCCAAGAGCAACAUUUAAAAACACACGGCUCACUCUAGCCAUUCCACAAUAAUGAUUCUAAAUGCCAAAACCUUUGAACCCGACAAACACACCUCUUUUUCUACCUCUAACAACAAUAAAUCUGAUAGCAGAAAACAAUCUGUAAAUCAGACAUGCUCAAGUCUCCUACACCUUCCAGGGCCACGGCUUCCCACCAAAAAGAUUCUUCGAUAACCGAGCUUGCAAUAACAUGCGACUAACAAAAGCAAAGAUACAUUUUUUUAUACAAGACCCACUACUACACCUUGUGGUUCACCAACCAACCAUGAAUUCAAGCAAGAAUCAAAACUCAUGGCUAAACUCAGCUCAAGUUCCAGAAGAAAUAACCUAAAGCACACGAAAGGCAAGUCCUCUAACUUCGAGCUCAAAAGCUCCACAAAUCUCCGAUAUUCGCCAGAACCCGUUUCAAAAUCGCACUAGAAACCUCAACUAAUCAUCCUGACACCAACGGAUGUACGCACAACCAAAAAGCGAAGACCUCCCAAAUCAAACUUGGAUCAAUGAGUGGUCCCACCACAAAACGAUCCCGAGAAGAGACGUUGAUUAACCUAUCCAUAUAUCUACUACUCACAAAUUAAAUCUCUUAAUAAACCUUGACUCGAAAUGCUUCUUGAGUCAACAGGGGAAAACCCUCUUCCAAUAGGCUACACAUAAAAAAAAAUAUACCUACAACGACACAAACCAUUUAUUCAACAUCACCACGCAACUCACAAACUACCCCACAGGACUUACGGCUCAAAGAUUCAUCGCUUAAUUGAACUCUAGCUCACUUGGGAUCACCACUGGAUAUAUCCCUAAUCCACGACUACGACACAAAUACCAGUUUAACAUUUACCUCAAAACUUCGACAAAAUAACCAGAAUCUCUAACCUUCAAAUCGUAGCGUUGAAUUCGUACUCCAUAAAUUUCAAGCUCUGAGGAUGCUACCCAAAAACUACAGUAGGAAUAAUUUAUAUAUUCCCACACACACCACAACCAAAAACUCUGCUCCAUCUCACCAAAUUAGAAAUAAGGUGAGUGAACAGAUCCUCCCAGUGAGGUGUCGUAGCUAGUCACCAAGAGCUAACGAAGUGAUGUCAAUAAACCAACUUCGAUCACAAAUUCAAGACUUAAAUCAGCCACCCGGAACGACACUGCUAAAAAAAAAAAUUACUUUGGACACCCACGCACUCUUGCUCUAUGAUCCAGUGUGUUUUAUUCCACUGCUACCACUUCCACAAACUCCACACAACUGCUAUAGAAUACCUAUGACAACACGUAAUAAAUUCACCAGGUGUUGUUGUAAAACUGGAGUGACCACAACCAUCCCACUCUCACUCCACCAUUGCUUUUCAAUUCCAUCUAAAUUUAUCAUCUUCCCAAAACACUCAACAAAACUAGAAACCAAACUUCAACACCUAGAAUUCCGAAAGAAUCCAUACUGGCCCCACGAUUAAAAUAAUAUAACCGUCACUUCAUAAUUCCAAACUUGCUUGAAACUCAAAACAUUUAGUGCCACCAAUCAAUUUCUAAAAUUCCCCGACUGCGGCACAACAACAAGUUGUCACAACGCACUGACCAAUGACUUUUGUAAGGCCAACAAUCCAAAGAAUUUUAAUCUUGGAGUCAAUAUGUUGAACAUCUCAACUAACUUCAACUAAUCCAUCUUUUAGACGAAAGUCAUCAAAAAUCUUACUAUUCAUCGACUGCUAUUAACCUCCUUCUCCAAAAUGCUCUAAUUAUACUCUUUAAUAUGAUGAUUCCAAGGAUAAGAACAUAUCCUUAAUUAGAGCUAUAUGGCCAGAACAUGCGCCACCAUAACAAGCAUUAACCACAAAAAUCCCAACUGACUUUCGCUGCGGAGAAAGCAGUUGAAAUUUGGUCAUCAAUCCAGACUUCUCUAAAUUGAUAGCCUUUUUAUUAGCCACAAAUCCCCCGUGACUAAUUAGCCCAAAAUUAAAGUCAUCAACAACUUGAAUAGGUACCUCUUUGAAUUACUAUGGGUACCUCACCACAUCACUUCAACUAACCUUUACAUCUAUAUAUAGAAAUACACUACUUCGAACUUUUCUUCUAACUCUUUGCUCCAGAAACCACGUAACUCGAUGCCAAGAUUUUCCAGACUACUACAACUUCACACUUCCCCACUAUAACUAGUGAACUCCAAGGCUUGAGUUAAACUUUUCACCUUCUACCCAUUCGCACGAGAUGCUCACCCUAACAUCUUAAUCAUAACCCAAACAAUCAUUGAUCACAUGAAAGGAAUGCUGCCACGCAUAUGAGUUCUCAUCUCGUACUUGAACGCUAACAAUUUAUGAUAUCAACUCGAUAACCCUUGAAAAAGGCAUAAACCAAACACCUCCUUCCCUAAUCAAAGCAGGAUGAUCACUUCAGAGGUCAGCAUACGGAGGCAUAGUCUUGAAGAUAUACACAUUUAUGGACAAUACUAUCCAUAGAUAAGAUAGGAACAACUACAUCACAAACCUAAUCAACACAUAGUGUCUAAAACAUAUAAUGCUAAUAGAUCCACCGCGAUCGGACCAUCACUCUAUAGACACUAAGUAUGACCAAGAAUAUGAGGUAGUACUAAAAAGAGAAAGGAAUCGAAUAUCCUAGUGACCCACCCCGAAUUUCACCCUGAAACCCGAAGUAAAUCCUGCGGGGACCACUUCCAAGGAAAGUUUACAAAAAAUUCGACAUAAUCUCCCUUGAAAAUGGACAACCCUUUCUAAUAAUACAUGCAUACACUUCUGAAAAUCCAAAUCCAACCUUAAACUCUUGGAGCCUUCGUGCUCCCCAAAACACAACAUCUCCCAAUUUAUUUACUAACUCUAACAAUUUAAUCUCAUAAUCAACAACCACAGUUCAGAACAACUCUAUUUGAAAGGAGAUGAACUAGAAAUAUACUGAGCGGAAGCUAUACUAUUGACUAUGCCUCUUCUCCAUGUACGCCCGACCUCAACUAUGCAAUCCUACAAACUGGGCAUUUUUAAAACGAAGAGCCUAGGGGAAAACAUUUGAAAACACGUUAGAGUGAGUGGACAAAAAUAAAUUAACGAAUAAAAUAUUUAUGUUUUCCCAAAUCAAUUUCCAAGGAAAAUCGAAUGCAUGCUGCAAGCGAUAAAACUUUUAUCUCAUAAAUAUCGAGCCUCUCAGGCUCUAUAAUAUAUGUAUGUAUUUACAUACGUCCAUACUCCCUAUAUAAAUUCAUGGGUCUAUAUAGGGCUACUACGCUCGCGUCCAACGCUCACGUCACGCCUUAAUGCGGUGUUACACUAUGCCAUUAAGGUGGACAGACAGGUGUAUAAAUAUGUGCCCAUACCCCCUAUAUGAAUUAUACACUCAUAUAGGGCUACUACGCUCGCGUCCAACGCUCACGUCACACCAUAAUGCGGCUAUAUGCUACGCCAUUAAGGUGGACAGACACAUAGGGCUAGCUAGCUGUUAUAUACAUACUCUUUGAUAAUUACAUAUUUAUUUCGGUAACUCUUCAAGAGAAAUAAAAUGGUCAAAAUUAAAAUGACGUCAAAAUGCUCCACAACAUUAAUUGUUCAUUCAUGAACCAUAGCAUGCAUAUUAAUUAAAACAAAAGUCCACUCACAACUUUAGGCAUAAGCCCGACGAAAUCCAAAUCGCCACUCCAGUGAGGUUUCCUCGAACCCUGGCACAAAUAUAUAAUUAAUUUCCCAACUAAAAAUCCAAUAUUUAAACAAAAUAGGCAAGAUUAACCGAGAGCCAUACUCACACUCAUCAUUGCCUAACUUCGAUACGGUCCACACCUCAACACUAAAACCAGCAGCCUUAACUACACCCUUUCACAGAUUAUACAACUUUAAUCCAACGGCCGGAUUCUACCUUAUUAAUCCGCCAAAAUUACCAAACUUCGGAAAUUCACAAACCUAUCCAAAACUCAUCCAAAAAUUCCAUAAUUCAUAUCAAUAAACUCCCCUAAAUAUUCCACAUUUAAAACCAUAAAAAUCUCCCACACAGCGGCGGCCGGAGGCCGACUCCGGCGACCUCCAAUGCCUAUGAAAUUUUGACAGCAUCUUCCUCUCAACCCCCUCUACAACUUUCCUAACUAGUACAAACAUCAAUUCCAAGCCUAACUAGGUCAAUCGAGCAAAAACAUCCUGAAAGCCCUAGAAAAUUCAACUCCACAUUUCUCCUUACCUAGCUCAAGAGAGGAUGAGACCUUUGGAGGGGUUGCUGCAUGGGAGGAGGGCUCUCUUUUGAGCCAAGCAGGUCCAGCUAUGGCGGCCGAAUGAGGAAGUUCCGGCGAGAAAACCACAACAAGAGCAGGACCUUUCGGGGGUGAGAACUCCUUCACGGCGGAGCUAGGGCGGCUCUCACCGGCCUAGAAUGGAAGCUGGGUUGGAGGCCGACCGAACGGGACCGGUGCGGUGGCGGUUGGUGGCCGGACGGCGGUGAACGGUCGGGUUGAAGUUCCGGCAGGGUGAUGGCUCGAGAGGAAAACCGGGAGAGAGAAAGAGAAAAGAAAGAGAGGGAGAUGGGUUUGGGCCUCUCCAAACCGGUCCAACACCUAUAUACCCACACCAACUCCAAAAUAAAACACCCCGAAAAAUAAACACCCUAAUAAAAAUUACCUUUUACUAGCUAAAAUUUACCAUUUUUACCAUCGUCAUAUUUUUCUCCUACGAAUAAUUCUCCGAAAUAAUCGUCCCUCAAAACCCCUCUAGGGACCAAUUAAACCAUAACUUAUUAACGGAGACAGUAAAAUUCUUAUUAAUACCAAGCUAGUAAAUAAGGUAAAAAUUUAAGAGUCGGGAUGUGACAGUUCCUGCAUAUUUUCUAUCAGCAUUAGGAUUACUUUACUUUCUAUGUUUUCAUUAGGAUUUAAGUUUUAUUUAGAAUAAAGGAUUCCUAGUAAUUAAGUUUAUUUCUAUGCCUAUAUAAGGCCCUUGCUAGAUUGUAUUUUAAUUCAAGUUAUCAAUAAGAAAACCCAAAAAAAAAAAAUUAGAGUAGAAACUCUUGUGUUUUAGGCUUGUGCCUGUGUUUCGCUAGUGGAUUCUAGCUUAUUCCCUUACGGUUUCGACGCUUGACGAAACCUUAUUUCUAUCGUGAUUACGUUUGACUUCAAAAACACGAUAUUAGUUUUGCUAUUUUAUUUCUAGUAAUUUCCUAUGUACUUAUUACGUCUUGGGGCUUUUUUUUUUUUUUUUUUUUUUUUUUUGAAAGGAAGAAAGCUAGGCAUUGUAUGUGCUUCUAUGAGCCAGAGGUUUGAUAUAUACUGUAGAUGGUCUAUCCUACAUAUCACUGUAAUGUUUUUCGUUGUGAAGCCUUGUCUGUCAAUUGAGUGGCAGCGGAUGGAUAGGCGAUGAGCAUCUAAUGAAAUUGAUUAUUAUUUUAUUCAGAAAAACAAAACACCUCUUAGGGUCAUCUAAGGCUAUUUUUUUUUGUCAGAAAUUUGGUUUUUUUUAAAAAAAAUUGUUAAAAUUUUUGUAGGAUCAUUUCACCCCCUUCUGGCCUCUAGCUACCCCCAUGAAUCCAACACAGUCAACACUGCUGAAGGCUCACGUCUAGUCUUGAUACAAUCAACCUUGCCAAAUGGGGCCAAAAUAUGAUUGAUUAGAAUUGUAAUACUCCAUUAGUUACGGAUCCAGAGCCUCUAGCAGUCUAGCUGAUGUUUUUGACUGUGUCAUACUCUUAUAAUAGCUCCCAAGAAAUGUCUUCGGGGAGCUAUUCCAUAGAUAGCAAGCCUGCUCUCUGUGCCCCGAGAAAACAAGAAGAAAACGAAGGAAAAAGCAGAAAAAAUAUAUAUAUAAAAAUUGAUCAACCUAUCCGUCCUAACUGAAUUAUUGAAUCUCAAAAACAUUAUAGAGCCGGUAAGCCUUUUCGAUCGUCAUUUCAAUCUGAUCAUCUUUUAUUUUUGUGUCAGUGCGCGCCUAGGAAUUUAACCGUGCUAUCCUCUCUAUUUGUGCAUUUCAUGGCUGUAGACGAAGAAAAAAAGAAUGGAAGCAAAAGUAAGAGAGCUUAGCAAACUGUCAGAAGAGAUGGUGGUGCCAAUUCUAACAAGGUUGUCUCCCAAAUCUCUGAUGCGAUUCAAGUGCGUACACAAGUCGUGGUAUAAUCUUAUCAACAAUCCCAGCUUCGUAGACAAGCACAUCAUGACCUCCGAUCGCAACAACCACUCCACAUCCAUCCUUUGCAAGCGUUUUAUCCUCAAGGAUGUCAGCUCUGAAGAGAAGGAAAUUGUAUACUCAUUGAUAACUUUUUACAAUGAUAAUUCUGGUGAUGAGCAUAUCACUGUCGAAGACAUAGACAUUCCAAGUUCUAUGGGUGUAUCGACGAGAGGCCAAUUUGUUGGGAAUGAGCUUGAAGCAGUAUUUCGUAUUGAUAAAGGACAUUGUCAAGGGCUUAUUUGUCUCUCUGAUGCUUGGAACACUAUUUUAUGGAAUCCAGCAACCAAAGAAUUCAAGGUUCUUCCCCAGUCAUGCAUUCCGGAUGCGAACAUGAAUUGUGUAGGAUUUGGGUAUGACCCCAAAUCUAAAGAUUACAAAGUUGUCAGUAUUAGACAAGACGAACUAGGAAAUGAAGAUGCCCGUAUUGUUAUUUAUCCUCCUAGGGUAGAAGUAUAUACGUUGGGAACGGAUUCGUGGAGAGAAAUCAAGACAUAUAAUCUAGAGAGAGAAGUUACAAACUUGUGGCCGGAAUCCUUCCAAUUGUACUACAAGGGAUUCUGUUAUUGGAUUGGACGUGAACAACGAAAGGAAUUUCUCUCCCAAUAUGCUAUAGUUGAAGGUGAAGAUGAAUGGGUUCGGUAUAUGAUCACUUUCUUUGAUACCACUAAUGAAGUAUUUGAUCACAUACUACUUCCGAAUUGCUUAUACCAACAAGAAGAGCAGUUUUCUGAUAUGCACGUUAUUGUGUGGAAAGAAACCACAGCUCUCUUUGGUUCGUACCGAAUUGGUGGUCCGGAUGCAUAUGGGUUAUGGGUAAUGGAUAAUCUGGGUUGCGUUGAGGUUUCUUGGACAAAACACGUAACCUUAGAAGUUGUAGAAGGAAUUAAGAAGGAUUUGGAAUUCUGGAAGAGUGAUGAGAUACUUAUGAUCGCCACAGAUGGACGUAUAGCCUCAUACAAUAUUAGUACCAAAAAGAUUAAUUAUCUUUCCAUUGAUAGUAUCUAUCCAGAGUACUCUGAAGCUGUUGUUUGUUUGAACAGUAUAGUUUCCAUAAAUAGAAGGCAAUAAGCUUAAUACCUACUAGAGUUAUGUUAGAGAUCUUUUAUGUUUUGUCGAAUGUGUUCAGCUAUACAGCUCAAAAAAGCUCCAACAAAGUCGAAGCGAGAAACCUAGAAAGUAGAAACAACCAGACUUUCCCAUGCCCGUCUGGCGGCGCGUCCACGGGAUGUUGUUGUCGGACGGGUGACUCGUUUAGUCGUUUAUCUUAGUCCAUCAGGCGAGCUACAUCAAGAUUGGGGCCAAAGCAGGAGGCUAGGAACACAAGCGUCGACUGCGUCGUGUUCGGGAGGAUUAGGAUUGCAGAGGCGUGCCUCAUUGUUCGUUUCCGAUCGCAUUUCAGCGGAGAAUACGAGAAAGGGGGAAGCCGCGAUUAAAUGCUUGUGUUUGGUCGGGGCGAUAAUACUAAGGCGGAUUGUCGUAGUUGUUGCCCUUGUCUUGAGGAGUAGGAAAGCUGAUGGUCGGAGUAUGUAGUGGUUCUGGUUUCGAGUUGAGAUCAGGAUCCAAGGAGAUCCGGUUGACAAAGUCAGUUGGCGGCCAAGUGAUGCGACGUGAUCCGCUUGAGGCCGAGGUGCAGUCCCGAUGUGGGCAAAAUCCAACCCUUACGGUGAAUUGUUUAAUUGGGUUUCAAGGCUUUUGGGCCUGUCCUAGGCUGCUGGACUUUUUCUAGUGGGCAAAAUUUUCAUAUUCUUAAGUUUUUAGCCCAAAUAGGGCACAUAUGUUUUUAUCUUAUGUUGUUUAUUAGAUUUUAGGGAAAAUGACCAAAUGCACAAAAACAGCUAAACUAAAGCCAUCCUAAUGAAAAAAGUUUAUCAUAGCUCAUUCCAAUAAAUCUAAAUAAAAAGAUGACUAUAUCCCUAUUCUAAAUUAUUUACACUAACCACCAUAUCAAAUCUAAACAACUCUCUCUCUCUCUCNNNNNNNNNNNNNNNNNNNNCUCUCUCUCUCUCUCUCUCUCUCUCUCUCUCUCUCUCUCUCUCUCUCUCUCUCUCUCUCUCUCUCUCUCUCUCUCUCUCUCUCUCUCUCUCUCUCUCUCUCUCUCUCCGGCAAACGCCGUCUCCUCUCUCAUCGCACCGCCGAGCCACAACUCUCUCUUUCUCCGGCCGAUGCCGUCUCCUCUCUCGUCGCACCGCCGAGCCACGAGACAUUGUCAUCUUCGUGAGCAGGACCUCUUUCUCGGGCGACGACACAGAUACGAAGACGCAUGGCGGCUGCCGUCCGUUGUCGAUCGUCGAUCGCGCCUUCUGCUUUCGUCUCCGCCAGGCUAGCUCUCUGUGAAUCGGGAAAUGGCGUUGCCGGUGCCCUCUGAGCACGACGAGGCUCAGUCGUUGCUGUGAGAUUUUGGCGAUGUCAACGAGUGAUGACUCGUGACGAUUGAACUCUAAGAGCUUCCAGGUGGCCUCGGAGCACAAGGAGAAGCCACCGCGGGCCUUCAAUGACUCAAAUUAAAGAAAUCUCUUGUUCCAUGUAUGUCAUCUAUUUAAAGUAGUGGUUAAUAGAUCUUUGACUCUUCCAUUUGUAUAGUUUGAAAUGAUUAUAUUAUGUCGUGAGUUUUGGUCUAUGAGAAUAGUUUGUUUUGUGGCUGUUAAACAAGUCAAUUAAUUUGUGGUGUGGAGUUUGUUUUCUUGGCUUUGUAAUUCUAGUGGUGGAUUGAGUUUUGAAUUUUUGCUGUGUCAAAAAAACACUUGGGAGGUAUUGACGGGGAGCUAGCUAACUGAGUCUGUUAGCUAUAUAUUGUAAUUGAGGAUUUCUAUGAGUUUGCAGUACAAAGAAGACUAUAAAUGUGCGAAUUUAAUAUGCUGUUUUGUUUUGCAAAUUUUUAGUUUAGAAAUCAUAAUAAAGUGAUAUUUGAACAGAAAGUAUAUUUUAACAUGAUUAUUAGGGUCAGUUACAGAUUACUGGGUGUCAGUGACUCGAUUAUUGAGGGUCAGUAAUCGAUUACUGGGCGUCAGUAACUCGAUUACUGGGGUCAGUAAUCGAUUAUUGAGGGUCAGAAAUCGAUUACUGGGGUCAAUAAUCGAUUAUUGAGGAUCAGUAACUCGAGUUACUGGGGGUCAAUAGCCAUUUAGGGAAUCAUUACUCAAUUAUUGGGGGUCAGUAACUCAGUUCUGACGGUCGGUGACCAAAGUAACUCAGUUACUAGGGGUCAAUAACUAGUUACUGGGUGUCACUAACUGAUCAGUAACUAGUUAUUGGGGGUCAAUAACUGGUUACUGGGUGUCAGUAAUUGGUCACUAACUGGUUACUAGGGUUCAGUAACUGGUUAUUGGGGGUCAGUAACUGGUUACUGGGGAAAUUCAGAUGACCGGAGUCCGACGGUCGAGAAAUUCUGAUGACCGGAGUCCAGCGGCCGGUGACCGGAGUCCAGCGGCCGUUGACCGGAGUCCGACGGCUGGUGACCGGAGUCUAGUGAAGUUCCGGCCAAUUAUUCUCUUUCUUCCACUUUCUCUCUCUAUACAUGUUUAAGGGGUGAGGGUAAAAUAGUCUUAAAAUAAUAUGGUUUAUUAAGACUUUAGUAAAUAUUUAUGCAUUUGGGGCAUAAAAAUGGUUACCUUAUAUUGGAAUGGACUAAUGAAAAAGAUUAUCAUUAGAAUGAGAAAUGAAGGGUUUAAAUUAAUACUAAAUGGACAUUUUCCCUAGAUUUUAAUCAUGGUUGUUUAUUAGAUUUUAAUCAUUCACUACAUGCGAUAAAGAGAAGUGUGCGUUGUGCAAAUAUGGCACCUUGUGUGUCUUGACUGUCUUAGAUAAGUUGCGAGUUCUUUGCUUUGUGUAAUGGUAACAAGCUGAAACAUAAGAUCUCUAAAUAUGAUUCGAUGUGGUCAAAUAGUAGGAAAACUACACAAUUUGUUACGAUGCUUGUCCUCAGUACAUAUUUAUCUUUCUCUACAUAUUCUCUCUCUAGAGAAACUCUACAAAUGCAAUUAGUUUUUUUUACGACGGCUCGGAAAACUUCUUACCUCUCAGCAGUAAUGUGAUUUGGAUUAGGACCACAACGCUACCUUUAUUCUUUCUUUUUUCAUGGCAACGUUGAAUGUUGACGAGGCCACGAAAUUCAGAUCUGGUUAGUUGAUCUGGAUCGGAUUCCCCGGGGGCUCAUGACAGUGGUCUACCAGUCUGGGUGCUCGAUACAGGUCGGUUGAGUUGUUCCUGGGUAGUGGGAGCCUCUUAAGCGCGAAGGGGGUUUCUACUGGAUUGUGGGUGAUGCGAUCGGCGAUGGAGAUGAACGCUGAGAGCUGACGUCCAUGAUUGAAGCACGUGGGGUGGAGAAUGAGGUGGAGAUUGUGGCAGUCGAAAAUAAUUCAAAGACAAAGGUGCAUGAUCCCAUCGACUGUAGAGAAGUAAAAUUGGGUAAAAUUGUAAAGCAAAUAGAGUAAUCAAUGAAGCAAUUUUUGUUAAAUGGUAUUUGUUAAAAUGUAUAAAUUUUUUAGACAUGCUUAAUAUUAUUUUAGAGUGUUCUUAUAAUAUGAGGUUUAGACAUAAUAUUUCUUUUUAUAUUGUAAAAUUUAGUUAACAGUUAUAUCGUGAGGGCGACCGUUUUUAUCUUUAUAUUAAAACAGAAAGGUACAUAGUUUAAUACCUUUUCUUUUCAAUAAACUACAUAGCUUAAUACUUGAAAUUAAUAUUGGCGAGAUCUUAAUCUAAUUUAUAUGGUAAAAUAUAAUAGCUCCGGAGUCGUGGGGAUUUGAAACAAAUGGUUGGUCAGAAUAAAUGGCUGACUGUCUGGCCAACCAAAUUUGACUGCAAGCGAGCUUCUAUUGUUAGCAACAAUACUGUUUAUGAAUAUUACAUUUGAUUUUGAUGUAAUCUUCAGUCUUCAAAGCGACCACAACAAACCUAGACCCAAGACUUCGAAAUUCAUCAACCAACAUUCAUUAUUUCUCUUGGCCUCUUCAUGAUCAAAAUUCUAAGGUAAGAAUCUUCGUCAUUUUCCUCAAUAGAGAUAUGGAAAAUCUUAGGAAAUUGCACUCGUCUGAAGAUUUUGUGGAGCAAAUUCUAUCAAGACUGCCUCCCAAAUCUCUGAUGCGAUUUAAGUGUUUAUGUAAUUUGUGGUGCAAUUUAAUUGCAAGCCCUACUUUUGUAUGUAAACACCUCUCUAGUUCUAUCACUUCUAUGCAAGCAUCCUCUAGGCCACUCCUUUUCAAGCGCCCAAUCCUGAAGGACAAGGAUGAUAACAUCAUGGAUGAGAAGGAAAGUGUACAUGACGACAAUGUCAAAACUCUAUUAUCAUCUCUUAAUUUCUCCAAUAAAGAUGAUGAUGAUUACCUUCUAACAACUGUAAUUGAGGAUCUUAAUGUUCCACUUCCGGCUCCUCUAAAGCUAAAACAUCCUUCGGAUCUCACAAUAGCCGGUCAUUGUGAUGGAAUCAUCUGUUUAAAGCUUUUCAUUGGUAACAUUAUUUUAUGCAACCCGGCUAUGAAGGAAUUCAAGCUUCUUCCCAAGUCCUUUCUUCUUCUUCCCGAAGAUGACAUUAAUCGUUGGUCGCUGAAUUAUGAAUUAAGCUAUUACGAUGAAUAUUUAGGAUUUGGCUAUGAUCCCAAAUGUAAAGAUUAUAAGAUUGUUAGAUUCGUAAUCUAUGAAGAGUCAUGUUAUUGGUUCAAAGCAGAAGUAUACACUAUGAAUUCUAAUUCUUGGAGAGAGAUCAAGACCGACUAUAAUGAAAUGACUUCUUUUGUUAGUAAGUCUUCUGAUCUGCCAAUAUACUUGAAAGGAAAUUGUUAUUGGCACGUAUGUGGUUACCAUAUUUCAUGGGGGGACUUCAUUCUUUCAUUUGAUAUGGGCAACGAGCUAUUUCGUGAGAUAUCAAUUUCAGAUUUGCCAGAUGGAUGUAGAUUAGAGACACUUACAGUGUGGAAAGAGUUCAUUACUAUUUUGACCUAUCAAGAAGAAAUUGUAGUUUCUCAUUCUUUCGAUAUGUGGGUUUUGAUGUAUGAUGGUGAUGGCAAAGGUUCAUGGAUAAAACAUUUAACUAUAAGACCUGUGGAAGGUGAUACAUGUCCAUUGCUAUUUUGGAAAGGUGACCAACUUCUCUUGAUUAAUAAUAAUGAUGCACAUAUCGUCUUAUAUAACAUUGGCACACAAAUGUUGAAGUAUCUUCCUAUUCAAUGCAUGGGAAAUAUCAUAAAUAUUCAAGCAGUUGGUUAUGUAAAUAGUAUUGUUUCCAUCAACGGAGGCAACUUACUUGAAGAUACAUGUAUUUCUGCUUUCUAUGGCAGUGGUAAGUUUUGUUCCAGCUACAGAGAAGACGACGACAAUAACUCUGCGUUUGAUGGAAAUGACAAGUCAGAGCAAUAGAAGAAUUCUUCAAGACUAGAAAGAGUUUCAUGCGCUUUGCUGCAGGUUUUGUAACUGAUCGAUUGGCUGUGGUAGUGACGUGGUCCGGAUGGCGUCAAGGUGGCGGAGUCAUGUCAGAGUGCGGCGUUGAUCUCUAUGGGUGAUGCUAGAUUCUGUCGGCUGCCUUCUGUUAGAAGAUAAUUAAAAAAAUCUGUUUUAGCUAAUUAAUUGUGAUAAGCUUCAGUAAUCAAUCUGGCAGCUGUCAAGCACGUUGUGGCUCUCAUUUGUCUAAGUAGCUCUUCUAUCAGAUAUUAGAUAUUUGUUAUUUUGUAAUAAGCAGCUUAGGCAUUAUCCUAGCUGUAUAAAUACUAGUUCUCUUGUAUCUUUAUUUUAGAUUGUUCUGCAUUUUAUGAAAAGACUCUGAGAAAUUGCUUCAGGUUCUUCUCAUUUCUCUCUUACUAUUCAUAGUUUCAGAGGUUGAUUUAUCUGUUAGAGGUCAUUAAUGCCAUGUUAUCAACGCUGCCAGAGUUGUUAGGCUUCAGGAGGCUCUGGACCCUAGUAAGCAUAGUUUCCUCUUUGUUGACAAUGCAAUGCAGUAUGGCCUUUUCCACCACAUAUUUGACAUUUUACGAUCAUAGAAUGAUCAGACUAUUGGAGGAAUAUUGGAGGUAUGGUUGUGGUAUGCAAGAAUGGUUGUAUCCGAAUGAUACAUGGGUGUUGUGGUCUCCCAGAUCCGAGGAUACAUGGCUGCUGUGGUUUCUUUCCAGGCUUAUUGUUUACUGUUUAUAUGUAACUUGUAUAUGUUACUUUACUUGUAUAUGAGAGUUGUGUAUUAGAGAUUAGUUCAGUUUGAACUAAUCUAGUUUAAGUUGAUGUUAGAAGUGUGAGAUUGUGUGAGUGUAUGACAGCUAUGUAUGGGCUGUAUACAGCUGAGCUUCCGCAAAUCUUGUGUUUAGAUUUCUUCAUGGUAUCAGAGCAGGAACUCUAGUGUCCUGGCUCUGUUGCUCUUAUUCUUGUUCUUCCAAGAGAAAGUUCUCUUUGGUUUCUCAAGCUAUAGAUGGCUGAGAUCAGUUCAGGUAUUAAUCCUUUUGGUGAUAAUAUCAAUUCAAACACUUCAAGUGUUUCUGAUGUUGAGAUGAAUCCAAAUCAACGUCUUAGUUCUGUUUUGUUGAAUGAAUUCAACUACCCUGGUUGGGCUAGAGCAACUACUCUUGCUCUUGGAGGAAAAUCCAAGUUUGGCUAUGUUAAUGGAUCCAUACAGAAGCCAGAUGUUGGUUCUUCCUCUUAUGAUUCUUGGCUUUCCAAGGAUCAACUUGUUAUGUCUUGGUUGCUCAAUUCUAUGGAGAGCAAACUUUCAUAAAUUUUCAGUUUUUCUGAGUCUUCUAGGCAUCUUUGGGAUCAACUUAAAGAGAUGUAUGGGAAUCAAAAUAAUGAUGCUCGAGUGUUUCAACUCAAGCGAGACAUUUCAGAUUUACAACAAGAGGGUAAAUCCUUUGUACAACAUCUUGGUGGUCUCACAAGCAUGUGGAAUGAGCUUGAUGUUUAUAGGCCUCAUACUACAGAUGCUGCUACCUUAUUGAAAAGAGCUGAGGAAGACAAGAUAUUUCAGCUUCUUGCUAGUCUAAGUUUAGACUAUGAAGAUUUGAGAAGUCAUAUUCUUAUGAAUGCGGAGCUGCCAACUUUCACAUGUGUAUGUGCAACAAUUCAAAGAGAAGAGGUUCGAAGAAAGGUGAUGAACAUAGAGACCAAGCCAACUCUUUUGGAAACUAGAGCUUAUGUUUCAGACAGUAGGCAGGUUGAAGAAAAGACUUACAAAGGGAGGAGGCAUGUUUCGAAAUGUAGUUACUGUGAAGGUAUGGGACAUGUCAGGGAUAGAUGUUGGAUCCUCCAUCCUGAGCUAAAGCCAAAGCAUUUAAAAGAGAACAAAGGUGGUCACAAAAGUUGGAAUGGUCCAUCACACAGAGCAAAUCUUGCAACCUCUUCCUCUGAGGGUAUGCCUGACUUCACUUCCAAUCCAUCUACCUUGAUAAAUGAGUUCGCUGCUUUCCUCAACAAAAAACAGAUGCAGAAGAGGAGACCAGCAGCUGUAUACAGCCCAUACAUAGCUGUCAUACACUCACACAAUCUCACACUUCUAACAUCAACUUAAACUAGAUUAGUUCAAACUGAACUAAUCUCUAAUACACAACUCUCAUAUACAAGUAAAGUAACAUAUACAAGUUACAUAUAAACAGUAAACAAUAAGCCUGGAAGGAGACCACAGCAUCCAUGUAUCCUCGGAUCAGGGAGACCACAACACCCAUGUAUCAUUCGGAUACAACCAUUCUUGCAUACCACAGCCAUACCUCCAAUAUUCCUCCAAUACUCCCCCUCAAGCGAGAUCGAGGAGAAGCCUUGAGCGAAGCUUGCCAAAAUAUUCGAUAAAAUUUACAACUCCAUGUGGAACACAAACCAGCUUUUGCAAAAAAAUUCCCAGAAAUUCAUCUAAGGAUGGCAGAUAACUCAUGUAUCCUCCACAUGCUGAUAGGACUGCCAAGGUGUUGCCCAGAAGACUUCCUUCUUGUUCUUCACCUCCACAGAACUUAAACUCCAAUAGGCCAACACCGAAAAGAGAAGAAAAAAAAAAAGAAAAAAAGAAAAAAGGACAAUAGAUCUCUCUUCCAAAUCAAAAAGAAGAAAUCAACAGCCAAAAGAUAAAGAUUUUUUUGUAUACAGCCACAGCUCUACUGCCUUGUUUCUUGUUCAUUUAGGUUAGUCUUGUGUGUAUAAGAGAUGUAUGGGUGAUGAAGUGUGUUCCUCACCCAACUUCUUCUAUAUAUAGUUUAGUGUUGUAAACUUAUUAUUUACCAAGAAGAAAUAUCAGAAAAGCUUCCGCAACUUUGUCUUUGGUUUUUCUACACAGACAUAGAAGAUUGAUUCUGAGUCAUCAAAGGACAAUUAACUGCAGUUUGACCUCUCUUAUUACACAAUUGACAUUCAGGAGAAAUAGUGUUCAUAGUAACUCCAUUGAUAUCUCGUGAUGCUCGAGGCCUAUAAAAUGGAGAAGCAGGAUUAUUCUACUUGCAAUGUGUCCCUUCCUGUUACAGAAAGAGCAUAUCGCAUUCUGAAAGCAUUCUGAAGCAACAUGUCAUUUUCUGUCACAAAUUUGACAAGCAGUACCACCUCCAGCUAAACCAAAAUUCUUAUAUCCUUCAUUAUUAGAAUUACUGUCACCUCCAAAAUUCUUAUACCCACCAUUACUACUUCCAUUAUACCCUUCAUUAGUACCUCCUCCACUGCUGCCAUUGUACCCUCCACCAGAACCCCCAAAACUCUUAUAUCCUCCUCCAGAAUCUCCAAGUCCACUAUCUCCAUUCUAGGUACCCUUUCCCUUGUCAUUGAAGUAAUUAGAACUACCCUUAUAUGAACUACCCCGAGCUGACAUACCAAUCAUAGAACCUAGAGGUGAAAGAGAAAAAUGGGACUCUAUAUCUCUCUCAGCAGCAAUGAGUUGAGCCCUAAAGUCCUUGAGAGAGAUAGGAGUAUCUCGAGCUCUGACCACUGUCUUUAUCAUGGAGUAUUCCUCAUGUAAACCAUUUAGAGUUACAAUUAUAAUAUCCUCAUCCACAAUAUGAACUCCUAUAGAUCCCAACUGAUCUCUAGCAUGCUUAAUACAAAGGAGAUAUUUAUCAAUCGAGUCUGCUCCCUUCUUAACUGUCUGUAAUUCAGUCUUUAGUUGCAUAAUGUUGGCUCUAAAAUCAGUUGAAAACUGUUCCAGCAAUGCACUCCAUGCCUCAUAAGCUGAUCUGCUUCCCACUAUUACAUCCAUUAUAUCAUCAUCAAGAGUAGCCAUCAGAAGACCUAAUAAGGCUUUGUCACACAUCUUCCAUUGCUUGUAGGCUGAUGUUAUUUUAUUAGUCACAAUACCAUCUUCUGAGAGAGCAUAUCUUGGAGGACAUGAAUAUGUACCAUCAAAGUUAUAGAAAAGAUCAUUCCCUUCCAAAACUGACUAAAACUGAUAGCUCCACUUAACAAAAUUUGCUUCACUAAGCUUUACUGUUAUCAUACUCAAUAAUGAAUUAAUCUCAGAUUGAGUUGCAAAAGGAGACUUGACAAGACCCACCUCGAAUUUUACCCUACAACCCGGGGUAAAUCCUGCGGGGACCACCUCCAAGGAAGAUAUUACCGAAAAUUCGGCAUAACCUCUCUUGAAAAUGGACAACCCUUUCUAAAAAAAACCUGCAAACAUUUCUAAAAUUCUCAAUCCACCCUUAACUUCUGGAGCCUACGUGCUCCCCAACACAACCACCACCAAGAAUAAUAAAUCAUCUUCCAAAUCAACACAUAAUUAUCCAAAUAAAAUAACAUAUAUACAACCUCCGAUAAAUAUUCUAAAAUGUCAACAAGCUUUCGCCCACAACCGAAAUAAUAUACAUUAAACCCAAGGGAAAAUCAGAACUACUAGACACUAGAGGAAGCAAGAAAAACACAGGUAGGUUAAACAGGUAACCUACGGAUGAAAGGUGGUGGAAAUGCGGGUGACUAUGCCUCGUCUCGUACUAGGUCCAACCCGUACUCUGCAGACUGGACAUUUUAAAACGAAGAGCCUAGGGGAGAACAUUUAAUAACGUUAGAGUGAGUGGACAAAAAUAAAUUAUUAAAAAUAUUUAUGCAUUCCCAUUUUAAUUUCCAAAGAAAAUAUACUGCAUACGGCAGCUCAAAAGCGCUCAACUCAUAAACUGGCAAUUUCAUCAAAUAAAAUGGAGCCUCUCAGGCUAAACUAUAUAUAAACAUAUAGGCAUAUGUAUUUACACUCGUCAGACUCCUUGUAUGAAUCCUAUGAACAAAUUAGAAAAAUAGAAAUUCAUACAAGGCUACGACGCUUGCGUCUAACGCUCACGUCGCGCCAUAAUGGAAUUUUUCCUCAUUAUGACCGAAGAGGACGGUGUAUUUAUAUACGUGUGGAAUCCCUAUAUGAAAACCUAAAUAAAACAGAAAACAAAGUAGUUUUCAUAUAGGGCUAUGACGCUUGUGUCUAACACUCACGUCACGCCAUAAUGACAUUUUACCUCAUUAUGACGGACCAAGCACGUAGGGCUAGCUAGCAUUUAUAUACAUACUAUACUCAUAAUAUUCAAUAAACAUAUCCACUGAAAAUCUCAUUUUCGGGAUCUCUCCAAAGGAGGAAAAUUGUCAAAUAUCCGAGAAAGAAAUAAAUCUCAGGAAAAGAAAUAAAUGAUCAACAAGAUAAUUCAUCGCAUGCUUUUCAAUUAAAACAAAGGUCCACUCACAAAUUAGGCCUAAGCCUGAUGUCGCUCCGAGGCUUCUUCUGCUUGGGCUUCCUCUCGUCCUGAACCAAAUAUACAAUUAAUUUCCCAACUAAAUAUCUAAUAUUUAAACAAAAUGGGCAAAAUUAAACGUGAGCCUCCCACACACUCAUCAUUGCCCAACUUCGUCAUUCUUAACUCAAAAUGGCUCAAACUUCACCGAACAUACCGGGCUACCGGCAGCCUUAAUUCAACUUUUUACAGAAAAUGACUUAAAUCCUACGGCCGGAUUCUACAUUAUUCAACCGCCAAAAAUACCACACUUCGGAAAAUCACAAACCUAUCCAAAUCUCAUCCGAAAAUUCCAUAAUUCACAUCAAUAAACUCCCCUUAAUAUUUCACACUUAAAACUAUACAAAACUCCCAAACAGCGGCGGCCGGAGGCCGAUUCCGGCGACCUCCAAUGCCUAUGAAAUUUUGAUAGAAUAAUCCUCUCAUCAUGCUCUACAACUUUCCUAACUAGCACAAACCCAAAAUCUAAGCCUAGCUAUGCCAAUCGAGCAGAAACAUCAAAAACGCCUUAGAACUUCCACCUCAGAUUUCUCCUUACCUGAAGCGAACCGGAGUGAGUUCUUUUAGGGCAAGGCAGCUGGGUUGGAGACCUACAAAACCGUAUAAGGCUUGCCCGGAUUGGUGGCCGGAGGAGGGAGCUCCGGCGAGAACACAGUCGGUCCUUCGGGACAAGUUUCCUUCCGCUUGGCAGUGAUGUGGCAGCGCUCACCGGCCAAGGAAGAGAGAGGAAGCGACGCCAGUCCAAACAGGACAGGUGCGGCAGCCUUGCUCAGCCAGACGACGGCGGCGGGCACUGGUUUUUCGGCGAAGGGAGAGAGAGCUCGGGAGGGAGAACCGGGAGGAAGAGAAGGAAAAGAAAAGAGAGAAGAAGAAAAAGAGGAGAAGAAGAGAAGAAAAAGAGAGGAGAAAAUAGGGUUUGGGCCUCACACAAACCCGGCCCAACACCACAAUUAUUACCGAACUCCACCAAUUUAACACCCCAAAACAAAAUACCCUAUUAAAAAUUACCUUUUACUAGCUAAAAUUUACCAUUUUGACCGUCGUCACAUUUUUCUCUGAUGAAUAACCCUCCAAAAAUAAUCGUUCCCCAAAACCCCUCUAGGGACCAAUUAAACUAUAACUUCAUUGACGGAGACGGUAAAAUUCUUAUUAUAAUCAAGCUAGUAAAUAAGGUAAAAAUUUAAGGGUCGGGAUGUGACAAGACUGACUAAUAGAAGAUGAAGUUUGAUUGCCAACAGAUGAAGACUGAAAAGUCGCCAUGACAGUAGUCUGAAGUACAAAGAACACUGUAAAAUCUCACAGACUUUCUUUAAACAAUCUUCAAAGAACUCAUGCAGUGAAUCAGCACCAAAUCUAAUGAUCAAAGCAAAUAUUCUUCACACUGUGACACGACCCACCCCGAAUUUCACCCUGAAACCCAGAGUAAGUCGUGCGGGGACCACCUCCAAGGAAAAUUUACUGAAAAGAUUAAGAAAAUCUCCCUUGCAGAUGGACAACCCUAACUCGAAAAUUUCAUAUUACACUCUUAAUUUAACACAUAAUAUACAAAAAUUCUAAAGUAUCCAGAGCUACUAAACACAAGCGGAAGCAAGAAAACACGAGUAGGUUGAACAAGUAACCUACUGGCGAAAACUGGCAGAAAUGUGGGUGACUAUGCCUCGUCUCCUACUAGAUCCAACCCGAACUCUGCAGACUGGGCAAUUUAAAACGAAGGGCCCAGGGGAAAACAUUUAAUAACGUUAGAGUGAGUGGACAAAAAUAAAAUAAUAAAUAAAAUAUUUAUGUUUCCCCAAAUUAAUUUCUAAGGAAAAAUCGAAUGCAUGCCGCAAGCGAUAAAACUUUUAUCCCAUAAAAUAUCGAGCCUCUCAGACUCUAUAAUUUUACACACGUCCAUACUCCCUAUAUAAAUUCAUGGGUCUAUAUAGGGCUACUACGCUCGCGUCCAACGCUCACGUCACGCCUUAAUGCGGUGCUACACUACGCCAUCAAGGUGGACAGACGGGUGUAUAAAUAUGUGUCCAUACCCCCUAUAUGAAUUAAACACUCAAAUAGGGCUACUACGCUUACGUCCAACGCUCACGUCACACCAUAAUGCGGCUAUAUGCUACGCCAUUAAGGUGGACAGACACAUAUGGCUAGCUAGCAUUUUAUAUACAUACUCUCUCAUAAAUACAUAUUUAUAUCCACCGAAAAUCCCAUUUUCGGUAUCUCUCCACAAGAAAUAAAAAUCGUCAAAAAUUAAAAUGACGUCAAAAUACUCCACGACAUUAAUUAUUCAAUCGUGAACUUUAGCAUGCAUUUAUUUAAAAUAAACGUCCACUCACAAAUUAGGCCUAAGCCUGAUGUCGAUCUGGGGUCUCGUCUGCUCGAGCCUCCUCACGUCCUGUUCCAAAUAAAAUAUUAAUUUCCCAACCAAUAAUCCCAUAUUUAAUCAAAAUAGGCAAAAUUACCCGAGAGCCAUAAAUACGCUCAUCAUUGCCUAACUUCGAUAUUCUUAAAUCGGAACGAUCCGAACUUAAAUAUCAUACUCAACAGUCGUAAAUACAACCUCUCUAAAAUACGACUUAAAUCCUACGGCCGGAUUCUACAUUAAUUAACCGCCAAAAAUACCUAACUUCGGAAAUUCACAAACCGAACCAAAUCUCAUCCAAAAAUUCCAUAAAUCACACCAAUAUACUCCUCUUAAUAUUCCACAUUUUAAAACCCUAAAAAUCUCCUAACCGGCGGCGGCCGGCAGCCGUUUUCCGGCGACCUGCAAAUGCUACCAAAUUUUAACAGAAUCUUCCUCUCAAUCUCCUCUACAACUUUCAUGACUAACACAAACUCCAAUUCUAAGCCUAACCAUGUCGAUCGAACACAAACAACCAUAAAUCCUUAAAACUUUCAAUUAAACAAACCUCCCUAACGAAAUCGAAUUUAGCCGAANNN
rnacentral:lncRNA from 1 species